rnacentral:lncRNA from 1 species
ACCAACAUUCCUCAUGCGCGUACGAGAGACCGGUUUCAUCGACUAACAUUCAACUUGUUGCAUAAAAAUGACUGGCGGGUGUUUGUUUCUUCAACUUUAGUUGAAUCGGAUUUGACCGAGGUGGUCCUUGGAGAAGGUUAAAUAGCAAUUUGCACACCAUCGUUGUGGCUUUGCAUAAGUAAGAUGCGAUCAUACUAGAUACCCAUAGCAGUCAUGUAAAUUUUGCAACAACAAAUUAGAGGACGUCUAACUUAUUUUUGCAGGGUAUGCAUGUGAUGUGAUAUGUCCAAUGACAUGACAUGAUAUAUUGGAUGUAUGAGAUGAUCAUGUUGUAAUAAUUAAAUAUCGACUUGCACAUCGAUGCUACGGCAACCGACACGAGCCAUAGGGUUGUAUUUAAUUAUUUUGUGCUUGGUGAUGCUUUUCUUUAUCGCUAGUAGUAGCUUUAGUAGUAACAUCAUAGUUAGCGCGACAACCUCGAUGGAAGCAUGAUUAUGGAGAUGAUGGUGUGGCGACGGUGACGAUGGAGGUCAUGCCGGUGCUUUGGUGAUGGAGAUCAAGAAGCACAAGUUCAUGGCCAUAUCAUGUCACUUAUGAUUUGCAUGUGAUGUUAAUCCUUCUAUGCACCUUAUUUUGCUUAGGACGACGGUAGCAUUAUAAGGUGAUCCUUCACUAAAAUUUCAAGAUAAAAUUGUUUUCUCCCCGACUGUGCACCGUUGCGAUAGUUCGUCGUUUCGAGACACAAAGUGAUGAUCGGGUGUGAUAGACUCUACGUUCACAUACAACGGGUGCAAAACAGUUGUACCACGCGGAACACUCGGGAUAAACUUGAGGAGCCUAGCAUGUACAGACAUGGCCUCGGAACACAAGAGACCGAAAGGCCGAACAUGAAUCAUAUAGUUGAUAUGAUCAACAUGGAGAUGUUCACCAUUGAAACUAAACUCAACUCACGUGAUGAUCGGACUUGAGUUAGUGAAUUUGGAUAAUGCGACACUCGAAUGACUAGAGGGAUGUCAAUUUGAGUGGGAGUUUAUUAGUAAUAUGAUUAGCUAAACUCAAUUAUCUUAAACAUAGUCUAAGUAAUCUUUGCAAAAAUUUAUGUUGUAGAUCAAUGGCUCGCGCAGUAGAAACCCUUAAUUUUAAUGCGUUCCUAGAGGAAGCUAAGCUGAAAGAUGAUGGAAGAAACACUGUUGACUAUGCCCGUAAUCUGAGGCUUAUCCUCACGGCUGCCCAAAAGCAAUAUGUCAUUGAUGCAGCACUAGGUGAUGCUCAAAGAGAGAUAAAUUGCCAUCCAGGUACUGGCUAUGGACCCGUAGGUCUGUGGUGAUCCACUUACAUAUCAUCAUGAGGGCAUCAAGGUUGAUGAAGAAGCCCUCGGUGAUCGAUCCGACCUCUGGCAGAGUGCCGAGACAGAGCUCUAGAUGGACCCCCGUCAGAACAGAGACUUGUGGCAGCGUAAAAAGUGUUUCCGGACCUCCGUCGAUGUUUUAGGAUAGAUGAGAAUUUAUAGACUAGAGAACAGAGUCGGGAGAGCCGCGAGGGGGCCACAAGCCAUUAGGGCGCCCCCUGACCGCGCCCUGUUGGCUUGUGGGGCCCUCGUGCACCCUCGUGCCUCCUUUCGAUGCUCCACGGUCUUGUUUUAGUCCAGAAAAAAAUCACAAAAAGUUUUAGGUCAAUUGCACUUCACUUGGUACUAAACCGUAAAAAGUGGAAAACACGCAGAAAACAACAACUAGCACUUGGCACUGGGUCAAUAGGUUAGUGCUCAAAGAUAAUAUAAAUUGGUAGAUAAUUAGUUCAUAAAAAAUGUUCUAAAAUGAUAACAUAAUAGCAUGGAACAAUCAAACAUUAUAGAUACGCUGGAGACAUAUCAUUGUACCGCUCGCUAGGGUUUUCUGCAUGGUACUUGUGUGCACUGAUUGUACCGGUGCACGAAGAGGUUGUACUGCUGUAGUGUAAAAACCGUUGUAACAGUUGAAUUUGGGGGCACUAUAAAAGGGGAUGGUUCUUCCACCGACCUUCUUACCUCUUACCUCUCUCUUUCUCUCUCUUUCCUUCAUUAAUGCCCUCCAAGCUUUCUUGCUCGAUCUCUCUUCCACUCAUUAAUGCUAGCAUCAUCGUACAUUUGGAGUCGACACACUUUGCUAGAGGCCGCUACCGGCUAGCCGAGCUGGAUGUGAUCUGACUUGCAACCAAGUGAACGAGAACCUAAGGGGUCGUGCUCUUAAGAGAAGGAUUCUACGAGGUCAUAUACGAGGACACUGGUCGGAUGUGAUCUGAGCUGGACUUAGAUCAUGACCAAGUAGACUUUAGGCUUUAGGAUCCAUGUGAGGCCCAAAAUUGAGACCGCGACGGAUGCCUAUAUAUAAUGGGGGUACCACACACAUAUUCGGUCGAUUGCUUCAGCAUCGUCAUUAGGGCGUUGCAUGUGUUAGAACCACCCACCUCCACUCGCCGCCGGUUGUGUGAUCGGACCUAGCAGUCCGCCACAUGACGUUCCUCCUGCACGUGCGAAUACCGUUAGAGGUGGUGCAGUUGCGCAGCUCCAACGAAGUUGUCCACGGGAUUCAGCGGACGACUGUUUGAGAGACCGGACGAGGAGGGGGCAACUCCUGGGACGCGCUAGCACCACUAUUCGUCCACUACAUUGCGCUCUAGUGGUAACAAUCUGUGAUUCCUCUCCUUAGCAUGUUCCCGGUUAUACAGUGCAUAGGAAUUUUUUUUAUAUUCCAGCCGAUGCACCUAGCGUAGCCCAACACUAUCCCUCCGUCCCUCCCUUCCUUCCUCUCUCUCUCUCUCUCCCUCUCUCUCUCUCAAACACUUAAUACAUGCAUACUUACAUUAGUUUGAUCAUGUUCAUGUGAUUUAAGGUUAAUUGAAUUUGUGGCACUAUCAUAUGAACAAUGAUGGUGCCAAAUCCAUGGCCUAAAUAAGUUGCAUCCAAAUGUACACGGAAAAUAGUUAGAUAAAAAGUAUGAACACAUCGUAGAACAUAUUACAUCGAGAAUCGAUUAUGGUUCUAUACAUAAAAGAACAAAAAUCUCGUGGUGCAAACUAAACAUACGUUUAUAUUAAUUAAAUGUAUGCACAUUUCGUUCCUGCAAAAGAAAUUUGUCCUAUUCGGAAGAAAAGAAAACAAGUUUUGAAAAAUCAUGUAGCAAUUACUAGAAAGAUUACCAGAGUUGAGAUACACAACUAUGGACGUAGCCAUUUGAGAUUAUCCUGUCACUGUCCACGGACCCGCCCGCAGAUGUAUAUAUGUAGUGCUCCAUUUGGCAAUUGGAGUUGCAGAUGCUCUAACUUCCUUCUUUUUUGUGAACCAUGUGAUGAACAAGCUCUCUCGAAACAGGCUUUCGCCCCGCUUUAUAGAUAAAGCACAACGGCCAGAAUCCAACCCACAUGUUCGAACACAAAAAAUAAAAAAGAGAGUCAGGUGGGGCAACAACACAGUCCAGCCCAAAAUAAAGAGAAGAAACAAAAAAUUCCCACACAGGGGCAAGCUAGGCAGCAAGCAAGGGAGAGGAGAGCCGUCGGGCGGCCGCCAUCAACGCGUCCAGGUAGAGCUGAAGUCGGCCUCGAUCCCGGGUCCUAACGAGCGGAUGCCAAUGCUGCAAGAAGGCAAGGAAUUUGAAGAACGAGUCAGAAGCACGCCGCGGAAACACCUUCUCAAUCAUCAUUUUAUUGUGAGUAGUCUAGAGGGUCCACAUCAUAGCCGCGAAGACCAACCAAAACAGUCGGCGUUUAUGACCGACCUGGGUGGCCCGCACCUGUAGAAAAUCUGCAAGGUCAGAGGCCUCCCACUCUGGUCCCAGAGCCUCGCGUACAAAGCAUCAUAGUGCAUGUGCCGCAACGCAUGAGAACAGAAUGUGAGAGCCAUUCUCCGGGACAUGGCACAGGGGACAUAUGCCGUUACCCGGACCAUGGCGUUUCAGCACCUCGGUCCCUGAAGGUAAACGGUCUCGGAGAAGCUGCCAAACAAAAAUCUUGAUCUUCAAGGGCAGCGGGGCCUUCUAGAGUGGGGAUAACCACGGGAGGACCAGCAUUCUGCACAGGGCCAGGUAUGCCGAACUAACAGAGAAUUCUCCCGAGGGAGAGAGGCUCCAAGAGAUACUAUCACUGACCGCCGAGGUCGAGAGGGGAAUCACUGCCAAGAGUAACUCCCAGUCCAGGACCUCAACAGGGCCAAGGGGUCGGCAGAAUGCAACAUGCCAUCCGUCUUCCAGAGCAGCAGCAGAAACCAGGACAGCAGGGUCGGCGCAGAUAGCAAAGAGCCUCGGGAAACGGAAUCGUAAAAGCUCUCCUUCCAACCAGGGAUCUAACCAAAACUGGGUCCCAGAUCCAUCGCCCACCGAGAUCCCCAAACUCAACCUAAUCUCGUGCUUAAUGCUCUGGAUAGACUUCCAGAACUGCGAACCAUUCGCGAGAGAGCAUGCCAAGAGUGGUCUGCCUCGAAGGUAUUUGGCCUUAAUCAAUUGAAGCCACAGACCCCCAUCUCCGUGCAGAAUCCGCCAAACCCAACGGAGCAUCAGGGCCACGUUCAUGAGGCGGGACGCAGGAAUGCCUAGGCCCCCUCAGUCUUUUGGCAAGCAGAUGUCUGCCCAUUUCACCAUGUGAUACUUGGGCCUACCAUUCCCUGCCUGCCAAAAGAAUCUAGCCAGUUCCUUGUCAAAGGCGUUGUGCACACCUUCGGGCAGGAUAUACAACCCCAUCAUAUACAUGGGGAGGCUAGCGAGGUUAGAGCUAAUGAGGAUGGAUUUGCUGCCUUUAGAAGUGAACCUGCCGCACCAGGGUUCCACACGGGAUGCUACUCAUCCCACAAGCGGAUCGAACCCGCUAACCAGAAUCCUGGACUCCGCCAGGGGCAUUCCCAAGUACGAGAUAGGGAAAGAAGCCAGCUUGAAGUUAAGGUUGUCUGAAUCCUGUGAUGCUCAGCCUCAGAGUAGCCGAGGACCACCACCUCACUCUUAUCAAAGUUAAUCUUAAGUCCAGACAUUUCCUCGAAGCAGAGCAAAAGGAACUUAAGAUUGGCAAUGUCCGAGUCCGAGCCUGAGACCAUGAUCAUGGUGUCGUCUGCAUAUUGGAGGUGUGACACCCCACCCCCCGGGAUGAGGUGACCAACCACCCCCUGGAUAUGCCCGGCUAAUCUCGCCUUAUCCAGGAUGCCGGCAAGGGUGUCCACGGCGAGAUUAAACAGCAGGGGGGAGAUAGGGUCCCCUUGCUUUACCCCCCUGGAAGCCCAAAAAAAGGGGCCUAGUUCACCAUUGAUAUUGAUGGCGGUGCUACCAGAUCGAACCAGCUGCAUAAUCCAGGUGCACCACCUCUCGUCAAAUCCGCGCCGCUGCAACACUAACCUCAAGAAGGACCAACCAAGACGGUCAUACGCCUUAUGGAAGUCCAAUUUGAGAAUGACCCCCUUCAAUCCCUUGGACGCCACCUCAUGGACAAUCUCGUGAAGGGCAAGAAUUCCGUCAUGAAUCUUCCUACCCUUCAGGAAUGCGGACUGAAGGGGGUGCGCAAUCCGUUCGGCCACAGGGGACAGACGAGUGGCGCAGACUUUAGCAAAAAUACGCGCCACCAUGUUAAUCACCGUAAUAGGCCUAAAUUGCCGAAUCUCUGCAGCCCCAAGUAGUUUGGGGAUGAGGGCAAUGACUCCAUAGUUAAUCCUGCCCAUGUCCAGAGUGCCUAUAUAGAAUUCAUGGAACAUGGGCAUGAUAACUGGGUGCACGGUCUCCCAGAAUUGCUGGAAAAAACCACCGGGAGGCCGUCUGGCCCCGGGGUCGAGCACACCUUCAUAGAAGCGAUUGUCUGGCCAACUUCCUCCGAGGAAAAUGGGAGAGUGAGUUCCGCAUUCUCCACGUCGGACACCUGAUCAGCUAGCGGCCAGAAGUCCUCACAGAGAGAGGAGCCUCCCCGCAGAUCGGCCGAGAAUAACUCCUUAUAGAAGGAGUAAAUAUGGGAUGAGAUGUCUUCCGGCUUUCCAGAACAGCAUCCCCAUCCCGGAGGAAAGGGAUGACACAUUUCCGCCUUCGGCCGUUGGCGAUGGCCUGAAAGUACGCGGUGUUUGCGUCCCCCUUGAGGAGCCAGUUCUGGCCACCUCGACGUUGCCAGAACAGUUCCUCGGAGCUGAAGAUGCCCAUGAGCUCAGCGUCGAGGGAUUAUGUCUGGAUCCAGUCAUCCGGGGACAGACCUGUACCGUCCGCCAAGUCAUCUAGGGUCUUAAUCUGGCCUAGCAAGGCCCCUUUACGGGCCCGGAGAUCAGCGCCCAAGUUAGCACCCCAGCCCUUCAUGGCCUGGCGCGCCAUCUUGGCACAGUGAUGCCAAAUGUCCACCGCACAAUAGACACGCGGCGGGGAGGCGGCAGCCCAAUGCCACUGGUCGCGGACCAACUCGCGGAAACCAGGCUGAUCCAACCAAAAAGUCUCAAAGCGAAAGCGCCGUGAUCUAGGGGGGAGCCUUCCCCCGACGAGAAGAGCAGGGGCGUAUGGUCUGAGCCAAUCUGCGUGAUGGCCCUAAGCCCGCACAGGAGGAACAUCACUUCCCACUGAGGCGACACAAAGACCCGGUCUAGAACACUCCGGACGGGGUCCGCCUGCUUGUUCCACCACGUGAACCUGGCCCCUACGCGAGCUAUCUCACGUAGCGCCAAGUCUGCAAUGCAGUCAUUAAAAAGACGCAUCUGGGGUCGAUCUACAUUCUGAGAGCUUUUAUCAGAAGCCCACCUAAUAAAUUAAAAAUCACCAGCCACCACUACAGGGGUGGUGCACCUAUCCACCUUAUUCUUUAGCUCGGCGAGGAAUUCUGCGGAGCGGGCAUGGUCUGCCGGACCAUAGACAAUAAUCACCUCCCAGCUGAGGUGGGUACGUCGGUCGGUGAUGGCCAUGCUCACAAUGAACUCCCCCCGGUCCAUGUCCUCCACCGAGAACGCCUCCUCCCGAACACCAAGCAGGAUUCCCCCAGAGUGGCCCGAUGCAGGGAGCCACUGCCAGGAGAACUGGUGGCGGGAGAGCCUCUGAAGCUCGAGCAUGCUAAAGUCCUACCGAAUCGUUUCUUGCAGCCCUACUAUGUCAAUCUCUUCUUGACGCAAAUACUCAACAAGUUGCCGCCGCCGGCCAGGGAGGCCGAAGCCCCUAAUGUUCCAACAUAGGAGCUUCAUUUAACAAUCUCGCCUGGAUUUCUAGGCCCCGCAAGCGGGGCCGAACUAGCCCGCCCGUCAACCUCGAGGCGGGGGAGCGCCUUAGAUGGACGACCCCGGUGUCCCCGAGAAGAGGGGACAUCGGAGGUCGCCGGGCCAGAGGAGGGAGCUCCGGGGCCUGACACUCGCUCCUCUCCACGUGUCUCAGUGGGGUUGAGACGGGUAGGCGGCCGCCCCCUGGGCUUCCGGACAGAGGGAAGCCCACCUAUGGGCGGCACAGGACCAACUGCAACCGCUGCCGGAGGUGCGCCACCAGCCCUGGUCUCUCUAUGACCAGGACCGGCGUGCACCGGGGGAGAGGGGGAGUUGGAGCGCGCGGCGAGACAGCGCGCUUCCGCUAACACCCCCUCAAGCCUCUCUUUCGCACAGAGGGCGGAGAUAUGCUCAAGAGGGGGACCUUUCUCCCCCCGAAACACAAUACUACUGUUCGCAGCCACAACAGCCAAAAGGGGCACCAAAUCGCUAGAGAGAACAGAAAACCAAGAACCAGAGCCAGAAGGGGGAGGAGAGGAGGCGUACCUGGGAACAGAUCGCGGGCCGCAGCACGCCGGGCCGCCAGCUCAGGCAUCGUCGGGACGCGGCCGUCCUGAAGGGUCCGGGACUGGCUGAUCCGAGCGCUCUGACGUGCCGACACGAUGGGGGAAGUGCCCUCCCGAGGCCGAGAGCGGGGCACAGGAGGGUACUCGGGCGCCCAACCAGGGUUGACGACCACCGGAGGGCGCGAAUCCGGGGACCCCAAGGUUGGGGAAGGGGGGAACUCGGAGAGCACGAGUAGCAAACCACCCCUGGCGAGCGCGGGGACGAAGCAGGGCAGACCUCCAUACCCACACUCACCUCCUCCUCAGCAGCGACCACCGGGAUAGGGGAAGCAGGGAGAGUGAUCUCCAUGCCUACCACCACCACCGGCGCCAAAGUACCCACCGUGGAGCCUCCUGCGAGCCCCGACUGGCCAACACCCGAGGGGGCGGGGGUGCGCCGACCGCCAGAUGGCUCGGGCGGAGCCCCGACCGUAUCAUCGUCCCCCUCAGAAGAAGGCCCCUCCUCCGACGAGCCCCCCUCCUUGUCAAGACCCCCGUCGGCAGGCUCCAGCCCAGGCGGGACCGGAUCUAGCUGAGCCGCUGAAGCCGGGGACUCGAGCUCGAAGGUCAGACGCCUGCCCUUGGACCCAAAGUAGAAGACCAAAGACAACCCGUCAAUCUCAGCAGGAGCCGGGCAGAGAAUCUCAAUGCGGGCAGGGCCAUCAUCCUCGAAAGAUGCCAGGUCGGCGGUGAUCAGUUUGCCCAUGGGUUUAGAGAUGGCUUUCAGAAUAUGACUGAGCUUGCCACCCCGCGGAGCCGCACUGCCCCCCCUUGGGAGGCCAUAGACGAGGACCCAAACCUUCUCCAAGGGAGGGACGGGGUCAGGCUCUGACAUGGCCGCCUGGACGCUGAUCGGGAGCUGGUUGAGGGGACACCGGAUAGGACCAUGCGAGCAGACCCGGAGUAGCUCGGCCGAGGGGAAGGGGACCGAGAAGACCAGGGGAGCCGUCUCAGUCACCUCCCAUGCGAACUCAGAGCCGCGAAAGUCGCCAAUGUAGGCCGCAAGCUCAUCCUGGAUGAGGUCAGACGAGAUCACCAGGCCAUCCGGGAUAGGCUGCUCGGGCUCCAAGGUGACCGUCGCUAGGUGAGGACGAGCAGCUACCUCCUCAAUCUCCGCAUCCACGAAGUAGAAGCUUCCCCGCUCAGUGCCAUACCCAAGAUAGGCAAGAAUCGUGGGGCACCGUGGGGGAGCCUCACACUCCGAGCGGUAGUGCCCGGUGCACCCGCAGUUGAUGCACAUCGUGUCCUCGCGGGAGCGCUGGCGGGUAGCACGAGCAGGGGGUCUAGAGCCUCAUGCUCAGGAGCCCCCUGAGCUCCUGGCGACGUCAGGCCGCCAGCACCGCCAACAGCCUUCUUCUUCUUCGACUUCAUCUUCUUCUUAACCGGGGUCGGGCGGGAAGCGGAGCAGCAGGCAGGGCAUCUGGGGACACGUGCCUAGAAGGCCCGUCGUCCCGGCACCAGUCCGCACCCGUCGCCCGAGAGGAGCGCCAGUCAGCCCGACGUCCAUCAUCACCGCGCCGCAUUGGCGGCCCGCCCCACCGCUCCCCCGGGCGGUGGUCCUGGCGAUCACGGGGCGGCCCGCCCCACCGCUCCCCAGGAAGGCGCCGCGGGGCGGUGAGCGAGGUCCCGAGCCGGGGGGUAGCGGGGCGCUGGCUCCUCACACGGCUGAGAUGCCGGAGUGGGGCGAGCAACCAACUCUGCACACAGAGUCGCUUCCCGGUCCAGGUCGGCCGCGCGGGCGGCCUCCAGGCGGCGACGGUCCCCCGGCGAACCCGGCAACGGCAGGCGGGGAUCCCUCUCCGGAUCACGAGGGGGAGGCGGACGGCGAAGGGAGGUCCCGGAGUAGUACUCCGGGGACUUCCCCGGCCGGGCAGACCCACCGCGCCCGGAACGGGACGAGGCAGCACCCCCUUCCAUGGCACGGUCACGGGCGGCGGGCAGCGCCUUCAACACCGCGCGAGCCUGGUCACGAGAGGUUGGCGUAGGGAGGAGCCCCUGCCCAGCCGGGAGAGGCCGCUUCGGUCGGGCCUGGCCGUUCCCGGCGUGGCGUGUCAUGAGCACGUCCCGGUAGGAGCGCCGUGGGGAGGGGAUGGGGAGCAGGUCCGGGCGCCGGGCAGCAGACGAGGGCGCGUCGCCGGCAGUGCAGGCGAGGACGGACGAGGUGGAGGGAGCUCUAUGGCUGACGGGACGGGGCGAGCGGGGCCUGGGGAACGGCCGGCGGGACGGGGCGAGCAGGGCCUGGGGAACGGCGGGGACGUCCGCGCCCGACGGGAGAGAGCGAGAGGAAAGGGAGCGGGAGCCCGACCGGAGAGAGCGAGAGAAACGGGAGCGGGACGGGGCGAGGCUGCGAGGUGGCGGUGGCGCACGCUCGGCAGGGUAAACCCUAUCCCCGAGCCGGUCCUCCCGACGCAGGCCUGGGCCGGGACGCGAGCAUGGGGGAGGCCCAGGUGGGCAUCGGCCCACUGCCGGUUAACCUUCUCCAGGACUCGGGAGACGCGGCGGGAGGCCCAGGCCAUCUCGCUAGCUGAGAUGGGCCCAGGCCCCGUUCGCAGCGGCCCAUGGGGAGAGCCGGCCCAUCCGUCCGCCAGCCGGCCAGGGGAGUUAGGGCAUGGGGGAGGGGACUGACGAGGCACUCGGGCACCUCCCGCUGCCGCCGGCACCGCCGCCGCCGCCACAGGAGGCAGGGCACCAGCGCCUGGUCGGGGCUCGCGGGGGCCCUCUCCGGCGACCGCCAUGGGGGACAACCCAGGCAGCAAACCGGCUCGGGCCAAGGAGGGGAGAGGGGGAACCACAGGGGGACAGUGCACCGGCGACCGCCGCCCGACCUCCUUCCCCGGCCGCCGGCGGGCAGGGCGCGCCGCAGCCAGGAACGAGCCGAGCAGCGGCGGUGCCAGGGACACCGGCAGCUCCAACCGGUCAUCACCAUCCGAAGAGGCCUCCAUGUCAUCGGGGUCGGGAUCGUCCGUCCAGUCCGCCCAACGUCGCGGCGACCGUUGGAAGCAGAGGGAGGGCGCCCCCGGCGGGGGAAGCGGGGGCAUCGCGCUCACGCAGCACGCCGGCCGACCGCCGUCAGCGGGCACCGCGCAGCUUCAGGUCUCGGCCCGCCGGAGAGGAGCCGCCCAUCGCUUCUUCUCUUCAGGAAUCUAGUCGCCGGCCCACAAGUGGGGUGAUGAACAAGCUAAUGCGAUUUAAAGUAAUCAUACCUCGUCCUAAGAAAUUAAAAGUGAAUUCAUACUGUGCAGCUAGAAAAAGAAUCAUAAAAGUAUACAAGCGCAUGUGAAAAGAAAAAGAUGAACAACUUGCCACUUCAUAUAGGUGAUCUAAUUAACUAAUUUAGGGUUCGAAUAACUUUGUUUCCCCACAAUCAUGACAAAGUGAACCUUUUGUUGAAAGCCGGAAUUCUGCAAUAAAGCUGCAAUGGUAGAUCUAUUUUUAUCAGGGAAUCUACCAUGCUGAGCUGCUGCACACAAGGCGUUCUCACUCACGAGUCGCAAAAAAGAGUUGGUGAGUUAUUAAAAAAGAAGACAAAGAGGACGAGUGAGUUGCACCAAAAUUAAAUACUUCCUUCAUUUCAAAAUAAAUGUCUCAAUUUUAUACUACCUCUAGUAUAAGAGCAUGGUUAAUAGUAUAGUCAACUGCUGGCUAUAAGCUAUCUUAUAGCCUAUCUUAUAGCUAGCUUGUACAAUAGUUAGCUAUAAAAGAGUACUACUUUUAUUCUAUAUGGCCCACCUUUCAUUUUCACAAAGCACCUACGAGCACGUGCUAGAGCUGGCUCUUUACGAAGAGCCCGCUUCCCUUCUCACUCCUAUUCUCUCUCAUCCAACUCAGCAAAAAUACAGUAUUUUAAUCCUUACAGCCUGCUGACUGUACCUUAUUGUACUUGCUCUAAAGUUGUACUCCCUCCGUUCCAAAAUAUAAGACCUUUUAGAGAUUUAUUAGAAGACUACAUACGAAGCAAAAUGAGUGAAUCUAUACUCUAAAAUAUGUCUAUGUACAUCCGUAUGUAGUUCAUAGUGCAAUCUUUAAAAUGUCUUAUAUUUAGGAACGGAGGGAGUAUUAAGUUUGAGGCGGUUAUAUUGAGACGGAGAGAGUACUAGAUAUACGUAAUCUGAAAUAGUGGAGUACCAAAAUUAUAGGCCUCUAUGAUUAGGAGGAUUUUCAUAAAACAUUUGGAAAGUUGUGAUACUUGAGAAUUUUUCCUUUAUCGCUUAUCUGAUUCGUAGAUUGACUCCUAUAGGAUUUUCUCCUAUGGAUUCCCUUUGACUGCACAUUUCAUGAAAAAAAACAUUAGUUUGCCAUGAUAAUUUUUCACCAGGAUGCACAAAAAAUGAACUAGUUCUGAAAGGUUUAUUGGCUUCAUUUGGAUUUACUUAGAAUCAGCUCAUAUUAGCAAUAAUUAAAGAUGGCCGAACGAUGGCGCCGUCUCCCUCCCGACCCGGGGCCGCAUGCAGCCCCUCUCCCUCUGCCCCCCUCCUCCUGUCGGUGCCCUCGGAUCUGGUCCGGGUGGUGUUGGCGGUGGCGGGAUCUCCAUUACCUGUGCGCGGACGUCCUUCCCGAGGCAGGGGAUCGACGGUGGUGCGGCUCGGCCUGCUGUGGUCCGACGACCUAGAGGUGGUGGCCGGCAGCCGACGUGGUGGUGGCGCUGCUCCUUGGCGGCGGGGUGGCCUAGCGGCACGGGGUGGCCGGCUGCACGACCCCGGGCCAGAUCAGGGCCCAUAAGGCCUCAUCUAGGUCCUAGGGGACUGGCUCUGGCAUGGACUUGCUGCCUCCUGUACAGGGAUGAGGAGGGGCGGGUUGAAAGGGGGGCCGCGAUGCCGACGGUGUGCUUUCUGCAGCGCGAUGGCAGGAGCUUUAUGGGUAUUUGUGGGGCCAUGAGCCUGGUUUGCUCCUGCCGAUGUGUCCGGUCGGUUACUGUCGUUGACGAUGGAAGUCGGACCCUCCCGCAGGCCGCCGGUGUUGCUUCCCCUAGUCCCGACUCUUCUUCUUCGAUGUGCAGGCCUCACUUCUCGGUGUCCUGGUGAGACAGUGUGGGUCGCUUCAAGAUUGUGCUUGCGCAGGGCGGUGGGUGGUAUGGUGGAGUCCUCCGGAACGCCCGUGGUGAUGCGUGGGGAUCGGGACGUACAAAUCCUUGUCGGCCUGUUCGACACCGACACGGUGACGCCUGAGGGUGUCGACGGACCUUCCUGGAGGGUGUCGGGUGCUACCCUUUCUUUGUCCUCGUUGUGUAUCGGGGGAAACCCUUGGCAGCAGCGCAGUCAUCGUCGUGUCCCUUCUUGGAGGUGUUGAUUGGUAUCGGCGCUUCGAAGGCUAGGAUCUUGGUGGAAGAUCUUCGAUGGGCGCAACGAUCGCGGGGCCUCUUCAUUUUUGUCGAUCCAUCAUUGUUGGCAUCUAUUCCUUUUGCAUUUUCUUUUUCCCUUCCUUUUGGACGUGAUUGUGAUGUCUCCGUCCCAGCACUUAUUGAUGGAUAUAUCGGGCAUUUGCUAUAUUAAUAUAGCGAGGCGAACGCGUGCUUCGAAGAAAGAUGGACGAACUUACCAACCAUAUUACUUGUGCUUAUUUAUUUUCUUCUGUUACAACGCACAAACAUAUUUGCUAUUUGAACUAAAUCACAUUGCCAAUUGCUCGUCUAUCAUGUCAAAUCAGAACCACGCAUCUAACCCUCCCAAGAUGUAGAUCGAUCGGUUUUACUCGGCAUUCAUUAUGGAUCGGAGGGAGUACUCCUAGAUCAUAUUCAAAAUUGCUCCACGCCACAAAUAAAACUGCACGGUACAUAUGGUAAAUCUGGGAAAGUGAUUUGCGUGGUAUGUGUGCCAUAAUCAACUGAAUUAUUGGACUAACCGCAUCAAGAUCGGAUCACAUCGAUCCUAUCCCCGUCGACGAGACUGUCCUCGAAUCAAAAUAUUUCUCCAAUGGACGCUCGUGUCCCACGCUCUGAAAGCGACGCCUUUUGUUUUGUCAGUUAAUUUUCACGUCAAGCUCACACCCACGCACGCACCGUGUAGGAUCCACGGCUCGACGCACCUCCCCUUCCCUCCCCUUCUCCCUAUUUAACGAGCUAGCCACCCCCACGCUUUUUGCACCUCAGCAAGCACCAACACACACACACACACAAGAAAUGGCGAUGGCUAGGACGACGACGCUCCUCCUCGUCGCCGCAGCUCUCCUCGCGGCCUCAUGCAGCGCAUGGGAGGUCAACAUCCGCAUGCCGACGUCGGCGGCGGACGUGGACGAGGCGGUGGUGGCGCCGCUGAUCCACGCGCUGCGGCCGCUGCUGGGCUCCGGCAAGCACGCCGGAGUGGCGUGCGACAGCUGGGUGCUGGGGGUGGAGGCGCACAACGUGCGGGACUGGAAGACGGUGCCCGCGAGCUGCGAGGGCUACGUCGGGCACUACAUGCUCGGCAGCCAUUUCCGCCGCGACUCCAAGGUCGUCAUCGACCAGGCCCUCGCCUACGUCGACUCCCUCAAGCUCGCCGGCAACGGCAAGGAGGUCUGGGUCUUCGACAUCGACGAGACCACCCUCUCCAACCUCCCCUACUACGCCAAGCACGGCUUCGGGUACGUACUUACACUCUUGUAUACAUUACAUAGACACUACUGAUUCUACGUGUAGUGCAUGCAUUAGACUUGCUAUUUACUGCAGGUACAUCCGACCGAGCAGGGACUUGCACUCAUCUUUUCACUAAGAUGAAGUGUAAAUAAUCUGACUAGAUAUAUAUUGUAAAAAAUCAACUCACUAGCUAGCUAAAAAAUACCAGCGAGAUCUGUAAUGAAUGAAAAUUGGAAAGCACAUAAGGAUAGAAAUAUUGGAAAUAAAAAGGAAUAUAAUCACUAAGUAGAAAAGUACUUUAAUCACAAGUGUUGGACACUUGGACAUCAUCAUUGCCAGUAGGACUCGGGCCAUAUGUCCCUAGUAUGAAUGGCCAACAAAACAAGAAGGAAACAUACUAUAUUUUGAGAUAGAGAUGUGAUGUUGAUGGGCAUGCGAAUGUGGUGGCCGGGUAGGACCGUAUAUGUUGUCCACUUGGCUACUUUAUGGAAAUGUUCUAAUUAUGUUAUGCUAGUCAACUCAUACUUUCUAAUUAUGUCAUACUUUUGUACACAUACACACUAUUGUAGUGCAUUAUACUCCCUCUCUAUCUAAAUACUUAGAGUUCGAAAGAACUAGGUGCAUUUCAGCAGGGGCUUGCACUGAUCUAUUCGUUCAGAUAAAAUAAAUAUCUUACUAGACCUCGUUCAAAUGAACUCACUAGCUAGAAAGCACUAGUAUCAUAAGAUUUCUAAUGAAUGAAAGUGGGAAAACAAAUGAGACUAGAAGUGGAAACAAGGAAUAUACUCACUAGCUAGAAAAGUAUUAAUUGGACGUGUUGGACACACUUAGGCAGCAUCAUUGCUGGUUACCUCAAAUCAGUCACAGAGACGGCCAUCAGGACCAUAAAUAUGUCCCGCCUAUGAAUGGUCAACAAAACAAGAAGGAAACAUAGUACUAUAGUUUGAGAAUAUGGUGGCCGGGGUAGGACCGUAUAUGUUCUCCACUUGGCUACUUUAUGGAAACGUUUAUUUCCAGCUGUCCUUAUCAGCCGAUACGUUCUAAUUAUGUUAUGCUAAUCGAUUGAUAUUUUCUGAUUAUGUUAUGCUAAACUUAGUUCAGAUGGAUAGUACUCCGAUACGUUUUCAUUAUUUUAUGCUAAUCUGAGUUUAGAUGGAUAUAAUUACUUAUUUUAGAAGAUGUGAGAGGUCAGAACAUCUUGUGCAUAGUUAGUAGUUACAUGCUACUCCCUCCGUUCCUAAAUACAAAUCUUUUAAAAGAUUUCACUAGUGGUCUACAUAUGAAGCAAAAUGAAUGAAUUUAUACUAUAAAAUAUGUUUAUAUACAUUCAUAUGUAUUACUCUAACCUCUAAAAAGAUUUAUAUUUAAGAAUGGAUGGAGUACAACUCUAUUCCUCUUUUCUCAAAUAGUUGAACACUAUUCCUCUUAGUUAAGAAGAUUCUCUUGAACCAAGAUGGAAACUAACUUGAAAUGUAGUAGAAGUCUAGGUGAUAUCUAGCCAACAUGAUGAUACCAGUUUAGUUCAAAACAUGAUUAACUAGCUCCGGAUAGCUUGCUUGUGUAUAUUUUGAAUGUGAUGAGGGAGCUAGUUCGUUGUGAUUUAAAAUAAACUGUACCUUGCCGUAAGAACUUUAAAGUGGAUCUACACUGGGCGGCUGGAAAAAGAUACAUAAAAGUAUAUAUAUGCGCAUCAAGGAAAAAAGAAAGAUCAAAAGCUUAUAACAGCAUGUCUAACUAAUCGAGCGGUUCAAAUAACUUUGUUUCAUCACAAUCAUGACAAAAUUAACCUUUUUUGUUGAAAGUCGGAACUCUGCAAUAAGGUUGCAAUGGUAGACCUAUUUUACCAAAGGAAUCAACAAAGCUGAGCUGCUGCGUACAAAGCUGUGCACGAUGAGAUUAAAUACUACAACUGCGUUUUCGGUCCAACAAAACAGUAGCGUGAUGAUGCCGGAGUGAACCUCGCUAUGUCACAUUCAUUGAUUUACUCCACUUGACCAACUUAAUUUACGACGUCCACAACUACGUACUGCUCAUGCACGUGCGUUACGUACAGAUACAGAGCAUCAUUGCGUUUACGUAUUGCCCAUCCCCUUGGCCAUUUGGCCACUUGGGCCAUAAUCUAGGUUGCCUAUGUUCCUUGGAUAUGCAUAAUUACUACUACUUCUUAGUAGCUGAUAUGAUUGAAUCUGCCAUUAAUCUAUCCUCGUAUACAUGUGCGUGCAGGGCUACACCGUUCAACGCGACCAGCUUCAACGCAUACGUGCUACAGGGGAGCGCGCCAGCCCUGCCGGAGACGAAGCGGCUGUACAACAAGCUGCGCUCGAUCGGCGUCAAGCCGGUGUUCCUCACCGGCCGGACUGAGGACCAGAGGGCCAUCACCGUCACCAACCUCCGCCGCCAGGGGAUCUCUGGGUGGAUGAACCUCUUGCUGAAGCAACCCGGGUUCAAGGGCUCUGCGGUGACCUACAAGUCCGGCGAGAGGCAGAAGCUGCAGGACGCCGGGUAUGUCAUCGUCGGUAACAUCGGCGACCAGUGGAGCGACAUCCUCGGCGCGCCAGAGGGUGCCCGCACCUUCAAGCUGCCCGACCCCAUGUACUACAUCGGCUAGGCCGCCUCUGGCUCGGCCGGGCAUGCUGCCAUUGAUUUCUCGAAUAAGCUCCAUGCUCUUAGUUAUAUGCAUGUUUCGUCAGAUAAUCAAUCCCCAAUUGUUGCUUGGUUCAUUUCCAUUGUUGAGAGCUUGAGAUCAAUUGCUACUAUGAAUUAGACGUGUAAGUGGAGAUGUUGCAUGCUGCUUAAUCAAUGGAUCUUUGUUAUGUUGUUUUUCUUUUUGCUCUAUUACAAGGAAUCCAUGGGCAUUAUUACUAUUUGAUAUCUUGUUCUUAAGUCUUAACUUGGAACUUAUAUUGCUGGUGGUAGAUUUUUCUGUACUAAAUUCUGCAUAUGGUGUAUUAAAUAUCAGGGACACAUAAUAUUGUCACACAUAUGGAAUCACUACUGCUAAAAUGACCAGUUCCUGAACCCAUCUGCUAUUGGGCCCAUUUUGGCCCGUCGGAGGAAGGGAUCAUCGUCGGUGGACAGGCAAAGAAGUGCUCGCAUAGACUCCUUCAAAAAAUGUGCCCUCAUAGACGACGGGUAUUUUCCACUGAUGUUGCGCAACUGGUGAUUGCAAUGUAGUUUGUGUCUUGCAUGUUGUAUGCAUAUGUAAUGAAUGUAACAUCUAAUAGUUAAUUAUGCAAGACAAAUAAAGCCCACCCUUUUCAGUAAGUUUAGAGCUAGAUUUGAGUUUGUCUUGGUCUCAUUUUUCUAAACAUACAAUCCUGGAGACAACUCGGUGAAGAAAUGAUGGUCCAAAUAGGUGUCUAACACGAAUCGUCAUCAAAGAAACCCUAUGGGAACCCACACUAUUCUAGUUACUUGGAUGAUUUGUAAUGAAAGAAAUAUAUGUGUCUUCCAAGUUAUUUUGACCAUGCCAAACAACAUCCCUGCUAAGAUAAAAAACGAUGUGGAGACUUGGAUAAAGGCCGGGCGAAGGAUCUGGGAAACAUUAUGCCAGGAGAGUAGUUCCGUUCUAUUAAUUUAUCCUUGGAUGACGUUUCGCGGAGAGAGGGGAGAGGGCGACCUGGGCGAUCUGGGAGCGUCGGGGGCCGCCGUGGGCAUCGUCGGAGAGGGGGAACAUCGGUACUCCUCCUCCGAUCUCGCAUCCCAGGCGCGGCGCCGGAGCCCGAUCUCGGCGGUGGAGGGACCUACUGUCCGUGUCCGAUGGAGAGUUGCGUACUCAGAGGCUGGUUAUUCGGAUCUGCGUGAGGGGCAGAUUGUUUUUCAUUCGGUUUCUCGUUGGAUGACACUACGGGAUGACGACGACGACAUCCUCGCCGGCUGCCAUCUCCAAGAGGAAGAUCUCAUCUGCGAAGGUGCGCAUUUCAUGGUGGAUAUCUUUUCUGUUACUUGUAUUUCUCCUUUCCUGCAGGUGAAUUCACAAGAACGGAUGCAGCCUGAUUUGGUGGACAUAUCUGACGAUGAUAAGAUCGCCUCACCAAGACUUCUCCCUCGAGUUGGGGGGAGGUUUUGGGUACUGGCUAAAGAUGAAGACGACGAGAACCACGACAUUGCCGUAGCACAGGAGGUCUCUGCUCCUUUCUGCGACCAGGUUUUCCAUCCGGCCACGAGGGAUUUUAUUCAUGCAUUGCCUGAUUCGAAGGUCGUUAAGGUAGUUCAACGCAAGGAGCGAUUGGCGAUUAAACCUUGGAGCGGUCCUCUGCCUAAGGUUCAUCUCGAACCAUUGCGGAUCUCGGACAUCAUACCUUGAGAGGCUUGGACUACUGUUUUGCCUAAGAGGAAGAACAAGGGUAAGAGCCGUAAAUUGCAGACGUCAGUCCCUGACAAGGUGCUGUCGUCCCGUGAUUCUCGCGAAUUACGUUUGAACGAGCCGAUGGCUGUUGUCGGGCCGUUGGGACCGGCGCUCGAGUUGGGCUUAAAAGAAACUGGGUAUAUGGCCCAGAUAGACUCCAAUCUAGCAAAACCUGCAAGUCCUACACCUACGGCUGCCCAGAUUUGCCUUGACGAGAAUCAUCAGGACUUGGUUUCUACGUCAAGUUUGCAUAUACCGAGUUCGGCUCUGCCUAGGGUUCCACGACGGCGUUUGCCUGGCUUCCCUUCGCUCGGGCCGGGUCGUGCAGUACGGGUUCCAGCGCUGCGGUGCAUGGCGGGGCGGGGAAACAAGCAGGCGCUGCCUCCCCCUCGACCACCGGCGGUUUCCCAGGCUGUGGGGCGGACUAGGCAGCAGCCCGUGAUGCCGCCAGGGCGCCAGACGGGCCAGGCUUCGGCUGCACCGGUUCCCGCUGCUGGUCAGGGUUUGCCCAACGCGGCUCGGGCGGAUACUAACAGGAUGCAGCCGAGAGGUCGAUGGGGGGAUGAUGGUGUUAAUGCAUAUGGUGAUGGACAGCACCGUGGAUCCUCUUCGUCUGGAGGAGGACGUGGCUAUGCCUGGCAGAGCAAUGGCAGCGCUGCUAAUGGGUUCGCCGGUCCUCCGGGACAGUUUGUGCCCCGGGUCUCGGGUCCUACUCACCCUAGGGAGGUGGAUAUAAGCAACAUUGGGGAGGGAGAGGUGGUGGCAGGAGAUUGAAGCCGCCCACGCCUCCAGUAGAGGUAGAUGCUGCCAAGACAACGGCGGGAGUACCUUCCAAUGCUCCUAAGGGGAAUACACUGCUGCCACCUGUUUCCGAGGAGGAUCCUUCCUUGGCUGACAAGGGAGUAUCGCUUGCGAAGGCAGAGGGGGGGGGAUAGGCCCUCCAAGUGGGCACGCAAAAAAGAAAAGAUGACAUGCUACCGUUGCAGUGAGACGGGUCAUUUUGUUUCCGAAUGCAGCGCGGAUCUGUGUGACUUUUGCUUAAAGCCUAAGCAUGGCUCAGCUAAGUGCCCCCUUACUGUUGGUCCUAUACAUGUCGUCACUUUAUAUGGGGUUUGCUGCCAAGAGUUGAUGUUCUUUGAAUCUCCCUCUGCUUCAACGUCGUUGCAUGUGCCAGACGCGGCCUAUACGGGGACGGUUACGGUGGCUCGUGGUAAUAUGUCAGCUGAGCAGGUGGUGCAACAGUUGAGGGAUCUUGUUUCAUCAAUGUUUCGGUGGGAACUGGUCCUUAUAGCAGAUAAUGUGUUCAAGGUUGUGUUCCCUACCAAGGAGGACCUAGCUAGACUGCUCAAGUUUGGUAUGUGUCGGGUUCCUAGUACUAGUUGUGUGCUAGAGUUCGAUGCUUGGAAGAAUGAGGAGCCAUAAGGUGUGCCACUUCCUCAGAUUUGGGUUCGUUUUUCAGGGGCCCCGUCAAAGGCUCUAAAUGACUUUCUGGUGACUUGGAGUUUGGGAUCUUUGAUAGGUAAGACUGAGAGGGUGGAUAUGCAAUAUACUCGGGCUAAAGGUGUUGCCAGGAUGAGGGUUAGUGUAAUUGAUAUUGCGCUAGUACCGGAUGAAGUUAUAUGGACUUAUGAUGGAAUGCGGUACACCUUGCAACUCGAGAUCGAGAGUCCGGAUAUGUUCGAGGAGGAUGGGACAGACAAAGAUACCGAUAUGGCUGACGGAGAUGAUGCUUCGGGUUCUAGGGAAUCUGAUAAGAAGGAUCAACAGCCAGUUAUUACAAAGAUGGUGGAUCAACCUACCUCAGGUUCUGCUACAGGGGCUGCUCAACCAGUGUCUCUUCCCUCGACGCAGCUUAGGUUCGGUUCCUUUGAACCAGCCUCGGCGCCAGAGAUUCGAGGGAGGGCUUCAGAGAAGUAUGAGCGGGAUCUGGUUCAUCUUAAGCCGCAAGGAAAGCAAGCAAAGUCAGGGUCAUUCAGUAUUAAAAAUCCUAAGGAAGCUUUGACCGUAGUUUCUCUUGGGGAAUAUUUUGUUGUCGCUAGGAAUGCUGAUACGGGCCGGUCUCAGCAACGUGAUGCAGUGCAGCCAGCAAGGCAUAUGUUGUCCGGGUUGGGUACUGUGCCGAGGGGUGCGCCGCCUGGGUCGCCUAGGCAGGGUUCGCUGCUGCUGUAGAGUCCAUCGCCAGCCACCCAGGGGGUUGCUGUUUCUCGGCCAGCCACCCCUGGGGCUGCUACCUUUUUGCCAGCCACACCGAGGGCAAUUACAGCGACUCCUCCUCCUGGCCUACUUCCGUCGUUGGAUGCUGCUGCGAGAUCCACCCCUGCUGCUGGUUUCAUGUCAGCCGAGAGAUCAACCCCUGUUGCUGCGGUUCCUAUCGCUACUAUGGCUGCAACCGGGGCAUCAUCUUUGCGGGUGUCAGGGCUGGAGGGUACUGGUCAGGGGCACCAUGGCGAGGUCGUUGCACCGCCGUCUGUUGAGCAGGUCAUAGCAUACGGAGGUAUUCAAAGUCCGCUGACUUCGGACAGGAGGUCCAGUCGGCGAAUUCAGAAUCAACCUGAUGCGGAUUAUUUACAGAUGGGACGUGCUAUGCGUGCGGCUAAAAUGAGAGAUGUCGAAACUGAGACAGGUAUGUCUUUCAGCAUUAACGAUUCUAUUCUUCAUUUUUCUCCUCAAGAUAUUCUAGAUAAGGCAGGUUCUAUUGGGGUUACAUUGGGGAACAAUGGCCGAGAAAUUUCGAAAUCUAUUAAUGAUCUAUUAGACUUAGAGGUCGAUAGAGCGUUAGACUUAGUACGAAAUUUAGCGGCAGUUAAACCAAUGCAAGAGUCUGAAGUUAACGAUCUAGGGGGACUGAAUUCUCUUUGUGAUAGUCUGGCCCCGUCAGUGGAUAUAGAGGAUGGUGCGGGCGAGGUUUUAGUUGGUCAAGGGAUGUGUGCCCAAUCUCAUAAGGCUGAGCCUCAAUUCUCUGGUUAUAUGGACCAGGAGUUGCUGGAAAAGCCGAAGCGUCCAUGGAGACGGAAAGUGUAUCCGGUCUCUGCGAUACGUAGAAGUGCUAGAUUUAAGAUUGCCAAAAAAAAUUAUGAUGAUUAAUGAGAGGAAUUUUUUGGAAUAGCAGAGGUCUUUGAGACUUGGCUAAAAGAAGAUUUCUAGCAGAGGCUACUUUAGAGCAUCACCUUGAUUUUAUCGCAGUGAUGGAGACAGGGAGGGAUAACUUUACGUCUCAUUUUUUAAGUUCUCUAUCAGCUGGGGUGGAUUUUGACUGGCACUGUCUCCCUCCAAGAGGAAGGUCCGGUGGGAUCUUACUUGGGGUCCGUUGUGACACUUUUCAAGUGCGGGAGGUGGUGUUUGGGGAGUUUGCAGUCAAAUUCAAGAUUAGAUCUAAGGAUGACGGGUUCCAAUGGGCUCUCGUUGCCGUCUAUGGCGUAGCACAGCCAGAUCUAAAGCCUGAUUUCCUAGCAGAUCUGGUCAGGAUUUGUGAUGACAAACUACCAUUGCUGGUAGGUGGAGAUUUUAAUAUUAUUAGGCGGGCUGAUGAAAAAAGUAGUGUUAAUUUUGAUGGAAGAUGGCCUUUCAUGUUUAACACAAUUAUUGAGAGCUUAGAUAUGAGGGAGACCGCUCUAUCAGGUAGGAAAUAUACCUGGGUGAAUGCUCUACAGAAUCAGACAUUUGAAAAGUUGGAUCGUGUCUUAACUAGUGUAGAGUGGGAGCAGAAGUUCCCUCUAGUAACUGUUAGAGAACUUCAACGCGCAAUCUCGGAUCAUACUCCUCUGUUGCUGGAUUCCGGUGAGGCUAGCCAUAUAGGAAACAAACAUGGAUUCUCUUUUGAAUCAAGUUGGUUCACAAGGGAGGGGUUCAUGGAUAUGGUCGAGAGGGAAUGGAAUACAGAGGUCAGGGGCGAAACCUCUAUAGAAAGAUGGCAGUAUAAGAUUAGACAUCUUAGACAGUAUUUGAGGGGCUGGUCUAAGAAUGUGUGUGGAAUAUAUAAAGAAGAGCAAGAUAAGCUCCUCAAACUUAUAGACAAUCUAGAUCGGAAGGCUGAGAGUUGUCUUCUGGAUGCUAACGAAAGGGAUCUCAAAUUCGAGGCCGGACAGCGCUUGCGUAUUCUCCUAAGAGAGGAGGAAAUGAAAUGGGCGCUUGAGCCAAAGUGAAGGCCAUAGUUCUUGGAGACAAUAACACUAAAUUUUUCCACUUGAUUGCAAAUGGCAAGCAUAGGAAAAAGAAAAUAGUGCAGCUUGAGCAAGAUGAGGGUACAAUACUAGGUCAUGAGAAUCUAAAAUUGUACAUCUCUAACUACUACAAACAUUUAUUUGGUGCUCCUGAGCAUAGCUUUGUGACUAUGGAUGAGCAAAAAGUGGCGGAUAUUCCUCAAGUUGGAGAGGCUGACAAUGAGAUUUUAUCCGCUCCUUUCUCAGAGAAAGAGGUGUUUGACGCGAUAGGGAAUAUGAAGAAUGGAAAAGCUCCCGGUCCAGAUGGGUUUCCGGCGGAGUUUUACAAGCACUGUUGGCAUAUUAUUAAGAAUGAUCUUAUGUCAAUGUUUGCUGAUCUUUUUAGUGGUCACCUUCAACUCUUCCAUUUGAAUUUUGGUACUAUUACACUCUUACCAAAGAAGGAAGGGGCCACGCGGAUUGAACAGUUUCGUCCGAUCUGUUUGUUGAAUGUUAGCUUCAAGAUUUUCACAAAGGUGGGAACAGAUAGGUUGACUAAGAUGGCCCAUUCGGUGGUACAAUCUACGCAAACAGCUUUUAUGCCAGGACGGAAUAUCCUUGAAGGAGUCGUUGUCUUGCAUGAAACUCUUCAUGAAAUGCACUCGAAGAAACUAGAUGGGGUUAUCUUUAAAGUGGAUUUCGAAAAAGCUUACGAUAAAGUCAAAUGGUCGUUUCUCCAGCAAACCCUACGUAUGAAGGGUUUCGAUGAGCUGUGGCGUAGGCACGUCGAUUGUUUUAUAAAGAAGGGAAGUGUGGGUGUCAAAGUGAAUGAUGAUGUGGGUCAUUUUUUCCAGACACUAAAGGGUCUCCGCCAAGGAGAUCCAAUGUCUCCCAUUUUAUUUAACAUUGUUGCUGAUAUGUUGGCACUGCUGAUUAAGCGGGCCAAUGAGAAGGACCUUGUAAGGGGCUUGAUCCCUCAUCUUGUUGAGGGGGGGAGUCUCCAUUUUACAAUAUGUGGAUGACACGAUUCUUUUUUUGGAGCAUGAUCUCAGUAAAGCCAGGAACCUCAAACUUAUCCUAUGCUUAUUUGAACAGCUAUUAGGGCUGAAGAUAAAUUUUCAUAAAAGUGAAUUGUUUUGCUUUGGAAAGGCCAAGGAUGAGCAGCUCACGUAUAAUCAAUUGUUUGGUUGUGCUAGCGGGAGUUUACCUUUUACUUAUUUAGGGAUCCCAAUUCAUCACAGAAAAUUAUCAAAUAAGGAUUGGAAAUGUAUCGAGGACCGUUUCGAAAAAAGUUGAGCUGUUGGAAGGGCGAGCUCUUAUCGUAUGGAGGAAGGUUGAUACUGGUUAAUUCAGUAUUAACAAGUAUGCCUAUGUUUCUCCUAUCCUUCUUUGAAGUACCUGUUGGGGUACGGAAAAGGUUGGAUUUCAAUCGAUCACGGUUUUUCUGGCAAAGUGAUGAGAUCAAGACUAAAUACAGACUCUCGAGAUGGGACAUCAUGUGUAGACCUAAGGAUCAAGGAGGUUUAGGGAUUGAAAAUUUAGAGAUUAAAAAUAAAUGUCUACUCAAUAAAUGGCUGUCUAGAUUAUCUAUGGAGACAAAGGGGUUGUGGGUACAAAUUCUGACGAAUAAAUACCUACAAAACAAGACUUUGGCGCAGGUUACAUUGAGACCAACUGAUUCACCGUUCUGGAAGGGGGUCAUGCGGUCUAAGAAUGCUUUUUUUCUCAGGUCUAAGUUUGUUAUUGGCAAUGGCCAAUCUACUAGAUUUUGGGAGGAUACUUGGUUGGGGGAGACGCCUUUAGCCAUGCAGUAUCCGCAACUCUACCAUAUUACACAAAGGCGUCAGGCGACUGUUGCGUCAAUUUUGCGCCAGGUUCCUCUAAAUAUUCAGUUAUGUAGAGCCUUAAUAGGUAACACAUGGUCAAGCUGGCUGCAUCUAGUGAGAAGGUUGUUGGAUAUUACCCUUACUGAGAACCCUGAUAGUGUUCGUUGGAAGUUGACCACUGAUGGAGUUUUCUCGGUAAAAUCUAUGUAUUUAGAUCUCAUAGAUUCUGUGUCCAUCCCGAAGUCCUUACAUAUUUGGAAGGUCAAAGUUCCACUUAGAAUUAAGAUCUUCAUGUGGUUUGUUCGCAAGGGGGUUAUUCUAACUAAGGAUAAUUUGGUCAAACGUAAAUGAAAAGGUAAUACUAGAUGCAGUUUUUGUGAGAACGAUGAAACAAUUAAACACCUCUUUCUGGACUGUCCUAUGGCUAAACUUCUAUGGCGAACACUUCUUAUUACUUUCAACAUUAAGCCACCCAAUAGUUUAAACACGUCAUUUGGGACGUGGUUAAGAGGGGUCGAUGAUAUAACUGCUAGCCUGAUCCGAGUAGGAUCAUGUGCACUUCUGUGGGCUACAUGAAACUGUAGAAAUGACUUGGUAUUUAACAAACAUCAACAUAUUCACUUUUUGCAGGUCAUUUUCAGGGUUAUUGCCUUGAUCCGCACAUGAUCAUUACUCACUCCUGUGGAAGCCAGGGAGCCUAUGGUUACUGGGUGUGUCCGAUGGAAGAUGGUAGCUCAGGUUAUCUUCAACCGUUUUGGAUGACGGCAUAUUAAUAGGAUAGGUGUUUAGUCAUCUAGGCUUAUUUCAAUGCCUCCCGGUUGUGGCGACGACGCCGUGUAUCUUUUUGUUAUUUUCUUCAUUUACUUAUCUGAAGACUCUUUGUACUUUUCGAGGAUUUGGUUUUGAAAUAAUAUAUGGCCGUAUGCAUCCUUCGAUGCCGAGGCCGGGGCUUUGCCUCCUUUUCAAAACAAAAAAAUUUAAUUUAUCCUUUCAUUGUUAACCCCUUUUUUGGACUGCAGUUAUUCUAACUCUCUUUUAAGUAAUGUAAUAAGGCAUAUCUUUUUCCUCCAUUUCGAGACAAAGUUCGGACCUAGCACAACUGUAACAUCCGCUCUACAUCGACUCACUCUAGAGAGACUAGUCUUGGCACCUUUUGCAGAACAUGAUUAGUGUCCUGACAUGGAGUAUUUUAGCAUAUAAUGGUCAACUCUCAAGCACAUAUCACUUCAAAUUGCAUUGCUGAAAAAGAACAUACACUUGCACGUUUUUCGAACUUUCACGCAACAAUAAAGUAACUCAAUGAAAUAUUAUGAUACACUCAAAAACAAUAAUAAGCACUCAACAAAAUAUCAACAGUUUUAUUUUGAUGGACGUAGUAGGACUGUAUCUGUUGUCCACUUGGCUACUUUAUCAACAUAUUUAUUUCAACCACCCUGAUCAACAGACAAUAUCUAAGUAUGUUAUGCUAAUUGAGUUAAAAUGGAUAAUCCUUAUUUUAUAAGAUGCAAGGAGUCGAAACAUAUUGUGAUUAGUUGCAUGCUACUAGCCUACUACAACACUAUUGAUCUUAGUUAAGAAGAUUAUCUUGUGAUUAGACGAAGUCUAGAUCAUCUAGCCAAGUAUGAAAAUAUUUAAAGGAGCGUGUGGAUACCUUUUCUUCUUUAAUAAAGGAAAAAAAAUUGUGUAUAUAUGCGAGUCUGAAAACAAAGAAAAGAAAGAUGGACAGCUUAUCACAGCUUCACAUAUGUCAUCUACUCCCUGCGUUCCUAAAUAUAAGUCUUUUAAAAGAUUUUACUAAAAGACUAUAUAUGAAGCAAAAUGAAUGAAUCUACAUUUUAAAUAUAUCUAUAUACAUUCUUUAGAAAGACUUAUAUUUAGGAACGGAGGGAGUAAUAGCUAAUUGAGGGGUUCAAAUAACUUUGUUUCGCAAUAAUGAUUGAAAAUCAACCUUUUGUUGAAAUCCGAAACUCUACGUACGGUAGACCUAUUUUUAUCAAGGGAAUCAACAAAGAUGAUCUGCUACAUAAAAAUGCGCGUAUGGUCACUCACGAGCCACAAGGACGAUGCUUGAGUAGUGAUGAGUGAGGUGCACGAUGAGAUUAAAUAUUCCAACUAGUGUAACCGAAAAGUAUAGUAAGUUAGACAUCGUUCUUGGUCCACGAAAAUAGUGGCGUGAUCGAUGACAUCUUGAUGCCGGCCGGAGACUAGGAUCUGGCUGUUUGAUAGGGUACCAAUUAAUUUAUACCCUCCACUUGGCCAACUUACUUCAUCACCAGUCGAUAACUGUAUACGCAUUGUUCCAUAUUCAUGCAUGCACGUGCUUACAGCCCAAGAGCAUUGGGUUUAGCUGGUGCUGUCUGAUCCGCUUGAACUCGUAGAAAAAGGGCCUUUGGCCUGGACCCUUUAGUCCCAGCCUGUCUUUCGGUCGGAACUAAAAGCCGGCCACGUCAUCCCAAAUUAUCAGUUUAACCCGCUUGGCCACCAUUUAUAUCAUUAAAAAACCUCAAAUUUGUAGCGGGGUGAGUUUACAUGUUACCUUGGAUCGCCAUUGUUUUUUUGGCCCUGCGUGUAACGACGAUGGCCGGAGUAGGCUCGUGCAGAUUAGUCCUCCUCUUGGUAAUUAAGGAGUAUAUAUCCACUAGCUAGUGUCUGACAUUCAGAACCUCCACUCGAUGGCCAGAGUAUUUGAUAUUUAUACUCUCCUCUUGGUAAUUAAGGAGUGCAUAUCCACUAGCUAGUGAUCUAAACGUUUCUAUAUUAAUUUAUGGAGGAAAUAUUUAAUAAGGUUAUUACCCAACAUUACAGGCGCCAUCCGAUAAACCAUAUCACUUUUUUUUGCGAGGACCUAAACCAUAUUCAAAAUGCAGAAUUACUGGCACGUGGUGUAGUUUACGGAUCGAGCCUCCUCCUUCGUGGGCACCAUAGUAGUCAUGCAAGACAUCGUAGUUAUAUAGUGGUCAAGUGUGAGUUAUGAUUGCUUGUAUAUUUUUUAUGCGAUUUAUGAGUCAAUAAAAGUGCUUUUAUUGAGAAAUGUAUCUAUAUUGAUUAUUGUUGAACCUGCCAUUAAUGUAACUAUUUACACAUGUGCGGGGCCAUGCCGUCCAACACGAGGAGCUUCAAAGCGUAUGUGUGGGAGGGGAGUGCGUCGAUGCUGCAAUGACGAACUGCUCUUGGUCGGCGUCCAGCCGGUGUUCCUCACCGGCCAGACCGAGGACCAUAGGGACAUCAUCGUCACCAACCUCCACCGCCCGAGUUCAAGGGCUCCACGGUAACCUACAAGUCUCAUGAGAGGCAGAAGUUGCCGACGACCUGGUAUGUCAUCGUGGGCACCAUUGAUGACCAAGGGAACGACAUCCUGGGGGUAUCCGGUGGGGGGCACACCUUCAAGUUGCCCGACCACAACGGCUAGGCUACAUAGAGAUCGGCCAUGCCUUGAUUGAUUUCUUGAGUAAGCUCUAUGCUUUCAAUUGUAUGCAUGUUUAGUAAACAAUCCCUCCCUAGUUGUUGCUUUGUUCAUUUUCAUUGUCGAGAACUUGAGAUCAAUAGUUAGUAUUUAUAAGACGUGUUACGCUAAAAGUUGCAUGCAACAUAAUCAAUGGUUUGUUGGUUUUAUUGUUUCUCUCUAUUACGAGAUCCAUGGGCUAUAUUGUUGUUUGAUGUAUUGUAAUUCUUAACUUGGAUCUGUAAUAUUGAUCAUGGUGUACUUUUUAACUAAAGAUUGUUGAUGGUGGAAUUAGUAUGAAAGGUACAUAGUGCUGUCACACAUAGGGUGUCACUACUCCCAUUUUGGCCCAACAGAAGGAAGGGUCAUCAUUUACGGGUCACCAGACUGCGUUAGUAUAGAGGCAACAAGGUAUUUUAACCAUGCCGAACAUCAUUAUUGUGAAGAUUAAAAAUGAGGCGGCAACUUGGGUCAAUUUUUGGGGUGGAGGAUUUGAGAAACACUAUGCCCCGUGAGAAACUCCGCUAUAUUAUUUAAGUCUUUCGUUUUUAGCCUCUCUUUUUUCGGCAGCGGUUCUUCCAACUCUCCUAGUAAAUAGAAAGGGGGAAAGAAAAUCUUUUGCCUCCAUUUUGAAAAAGAAAAGGUUGAGACUAACAUCCCUUUCCAUCGACCCACUCUAGAGAGUGUCUCCAACCUUGUUUUCUUGGCCCUUUUGCAUGACAUGAGUAGUGUCCUAACAUGGACUCCUUGAUGUGUAACGCUCAGCUCUCCUGACCAAAUCGCUUAGAAUUACAUCACACGCAAAAGUUAUAUACUUUUGCAUGUUUUUCGCACGUCAAUGCAACAUUAAAAAUUUCAAUGAAACAUUAUGAUACAUUUUGAAACAAAAAAGAACUCAGCAAAACAUACUGUGGAAAUAGAAAAUUUUUGCCAACAACUAAAAAAACGCAGUCAUCAAUUUAGCCGCAACAAAAAUAAGAUGUUAGAAGUCAGAACAUCUUGUGCAUGAUUAUAUGCUAUAGGACUAUUCAUUAGAGAAACUAGUUGGGUAAAACUUUCUCCUUUUUCCGAAUCUCCUUUUUAAUGUGGGGAAAAAGCUAAUGCAUUGUGGUUUAAAGUAAAUAUUACAUCGGCCUGGGAAAUUUAAAAUGAAUCUAGACUGGACGGCUACAAAGAGAACCAUAAAAGUAUUCAAGCACGUCAGAAGAAAAGGAAAGAUAAAAUUCAAAAAAGAAAAGAGAAAAGGAAAGAUGAACAACCUAUCACUUGCCUCAUAUCUUUACCUAAUAAUAAAGAGGCUAUUGCUUCCGUCGAAAAACCCACCGCUGCCGUUUUUUAAAAAGCCCCCUGUCUUUUAGGUAAUUAAACCCGCAGUACCUUUUUAUGUGUUACGAACAUGAAAACGUUUCAUUUUUGCAGGGAGCCUCCCAUGGCAUUGGAUAAGAGAAACGCAUCUGGGCUGACGAAAACGCACGAGAGGGCUAUCGCUUCUGCCCUCAUAAUCCCACAUCGAUACUUCACAGAUAAUUUCAUCACUUUAUAUACAUGCGCCUUGGUGAUUUUACAAGAGGCAACGGAAAUCAAGAGAGGAACAAAUUCGAGAAGAAGAAAUUGAGAUGACGCAAACAGAGGUGGAGCUGCGAGACAGAGGGGGCUCGGGGCGAAGGAAAGGGUCGGGCGCCGGCGAUGCAUACGUGGAGGUGGGGGCGUCGGGGUUAGAGGAUUCAGGCAACCGGCGGGGUAAGUCUUGCCGGAGACUGGCCCCAUAGGCCGACCUCGCAGCAGCACACCAUGGGAGGUGGUCGCGAGGUGCAGAGGUGGGAGGCGGUGGAGGAGCGGAGGAGGAGGCGAGUGCGGGCGCCAUUGGAAGGGGGGAGUCGGGGAGAUUGGGGAUCCUGUGGGGCUCUCUCCCCUAGCGGCGCGAGGUGGAGGAGAGGAGGGGGGCUGGGGAUCGGGCUAGGUUAGGGGAUUUAGGAGUGGGUAAGGCUAUGCCUUGGCACGCCUAAUGGGUUGUGCACUACUACUCAUCUCUCUUUCCUUUAAUUUCUUUAUCUAAAUUCUUUAAUUAAAAAUAUGUGGUAUUAUUUUUUUUCCGUUGCAACGCACGGGUCCUUUUGCUAGUAUCAUCUAACAAAUCGAGGGGUUCGCAUAGAUCUGCUUCGCCACAUAAUAAUAUAAUCAUGACAAAAGGCUACCUUCUGGUGAAAGCAGAAGCUCUGCAAUAAAGCUGCAAUCGUAGACCUAUUUUAUGAAGGGAACCAACAAAUCGAGCUGCACAAUCCAAUUAAAUACUAAUUCCUCCGUUCCUAAAUAUAAGAUUUUUUAAAGAUUAUAUUAUGAACUACAUAAAAAGAAAAAUGAAUGAAUCUAUAUUUUAAAAUAUGUUUAUAUACAUUUGUAUGUAGUUCAUAGUUAAAUCUAUAAAAGGUCUUAUAUUUAAAAACAGAGGGAGUAUAAGUACUGAGUAAGUUUGACAUUUGUUCUUGGUCCAACAAAACAGUCGUGUGACCCAUGACGAAGCGGCGAUGCCGGAGUUGGAUCUCACUGUCUGAUAUUUAUCGAUUUGUGCCCUCCACUUGGCCAGCUUAAUUGAUCACCAGUCUCUUUCAUUGACAAUUAGUGCUGCUCAUACACGUGCGUUGCAUACAGAUGAUAUAUUGGGUUUAGGUACGGCUGUCUGAUCCACUUGGCCACCUUCUCACUAGAAAGCUCAAGUUUGCAGCGACGAGUUUGCAUGUUACUACAUUGGAUCGCCGUUGUUUAGCCCUGCGUGUGUGAUGAGGGGCGGAGACCCGGAGCAGACCCGUGCAGAUUCGUAUUCCCUUGGUUAUGUUUUAUUCUGUAUAUUAGGUUUGUAUAAUGUAAAACCUAAAUUUGCUUCGCCACAUAAUAUAAAAUAAUAUAAUCAUGACAAAGGCUACCUUCUGGUGAAAGCAGAAGCUCUGCAAUCAAGCUGCAAUCGUAGACCUAUUUUAUGGAGGGAACCAACAAAUCGAGCUGCACAAUCAAAUUAAAUACUACUCCCUCCCUUUUUAAAUAUAAAAACUUUUAAAAAUUAUACUAUGAACUAUAUAAGAAACGGAAUGAGUGAAUCAAUACUCUAAAAUACUCCCUCCGUUCUAAAAUAGGUGUCUUAACCUUAAUACAAUUUUGUACUAGAUCUAGUACAAAGUUGAGACAAUUAUUUUAAGACAGAGAGAGUAUGUCUAUAUAUAUUUAUAUGUAGUUUAUGUUGGCUUUGGAUCCGUAGAUUAAUUCACCCAGUAGCUACCACAUACGUGCAAGCUAGCCUCUAAGCUAGCAAGCAGGCACACAAGUGGAUGGAUAUCCAAUUCGUAGAAAUAGAACGACGUACGACGAGCUAGCUAACUGAUUCGAUCGUCUUGACUGCUCGGAAUGUAACUCGUUGAAAAACUGAUCGAUGGAUUGCUAACAGGCUCGUAUCGAGCCUGGUACUUUUUUAUUGCGUUUUGAUCUCUGGUGUUACAAGCAACAUCUCUAGGAUGCCUUUUAUACACAUCCACAAGGAACUAUGAAAAUAGACUAGGACUAGGUAUCCUAAUACUACUAGAACUCGGUUUGAUUUUCUUUCCUAAUCCUAUGUGUACAAGGCAACGUGAUUAACUCACAUUCACCCCCUAAUCACGAUGUCCUUACUUCCGACCUGGGUCCCAAACACGAUUGCUGCUUCUCAUAAAUGUUAUCAUCGACAUGGCCUUUGUCGUCCCUUGCAACAUUUUAUGGACCGUCUUUACUGUCGUCGGCUCGUCCGUAGCUCGAUGACAACACUCCUUUUUGGUCGUGUCUUCAAUCUUCAUCUCUUCUUCGGUGCUUUGUAGACUGUCCUUCGGAUCAUCGAGGGUACAUCUUUUGAACCUGAGCGUGACCAUACUUUGGUCUAACUUUGAAUUUCAAGCUCUUGGCGCUUGCAUCAGCCCGUAACUUUGAACCACAAGGAAGAAGUACUUCUUUCCUCCGUGAGUUGCUGGGGUGAUAGGGCCACAUAGAUCACCAUGGAGCAGCUAGAGUGCAUCACUUGCACGAUAGGUAGACUGAGCAGGGAACGGCCUGCGGUGCUGUUUUCCAACCAAGCACCCGUCACAUACUCGAUCAACAUGGUCGAUAACUGGCAUCCCGGAUACCAUCUCCAUCUUUGACAUCUUCUUCAAGGCGUAGAAGUUAACAUGUCCGAAUCAUCAUCACUCUUGGCGAGCCAACACUCCAGUUGAGAUUGAUCAAGGUUGAGGAUAUAGAGCCUGUUCCGUGUGCGAGUAACACGAGCUAGCACGUUUCGGAGGUUGUCGAAGAUCGUCAUUACUCCGUUAUCGAUACCCACCUUGCAUCCAUUCUCGUCAAGCUUCCCAAUAAAGAUGAUGUUGUUGUGAAGCCGUGGGAUGUAGUACACUCCGGUAAGUAUGCGAUGUUCGCCUGUGAGACCCUCGAAGAGGACAGAUCCUUGCCCACAAAUCUCCACAUUUGAACCAUCACCGAACUUGACUGAGCCUUCAACAUCGUAUUCCAGCUCGAGGAAUUUCUCCUUGCACCCCGUCAUGUGGUUACUGGCACCCGUGUCGAGAUACCACAACACAUUCUGAUCACCAGCUAACUUCGGUGUCACUUUGUUUUCAUGAAGUAGCACCUUCCGGCUUGGUUUCACAACCACCGUUUCAGCGAGAUCACAAACUUCGGCCAUCAGAAGACCUGGACCUUCGUCUUCCUCCUUUGCCAAAUUUGCCUUGAUCUCUCGCUUGUCAUGCUCCGGACAAUCCUUUGCAAAGUGACCCAUCUCGUUGCAGUUAUAGCACUUGACCUCGGACAUAUCCAAGUUCCGUUGCUUCCGCCCUUUAGAUCGGUCAGCCUUACCACGACCUUGUAGCUUGCCUUUUCCUUUGCCUUCUCCGGUUUGUCCGCCGCGCGUUGUGCUGCUUGAGCCUUCGUUGCCAUCACACCUUCCUUUGCUACUUGGGGACUCCCAAUCUGCACGUGAGUACAUGAGUUGGUCACUACCUCCUCCGUUGCCUUCCCGACAACUACGAGAAUUCUCUUCCCACGUCCGCAGGCGUCCGAUCGCCUCCGUUAUGGUCAUGUCGUCGAUGUCGUAAAGCUGCUCGAGCGUGCCAAUGAUGUACGUGAAUUUUUUAGUCACCGAACUGAAAAAUUUCUCCACAAUCUCGGUCUCCUCGAGCUUUGCACCAAGCGCGCGGAUCUCUCCCACCAAAGUAGUAAGACGCAUGGCAUAGUCGUUCACCGAUUCAGUUUUCUCCAUCUGCAACUUGUGAAAUUGGCGCUUCAGCACUUGUGCCCGAGCCUUGGUGACGCGAUCUUCUCCGAUCCUCAUCUCGUUGAGUGCGUUCCACGCCUCUCUUGCCGUCUCGAACUCCACCAAUGUCAUCAGCACGGAAUCCGGCACAGACUGGGCUAUGGCGGCCAUGGCACCUUCGUCGCGCUCCUCGUCGACGUCGUCGUCCGUGAUGGCCUCCCACACUCGAAGAGAUCGGAGAAUAAUCUUCAUCUUCACCGCCCACACGUCAUAGUUGGCAUCGGUGAGCAUCGGGUACUGGAUGGGGAUGUUGCGAUGCGCCUGGACGUUGGCGCUGCUCGUUCCUCCAUCACUCGUUGCUGACUUGUCGUCCUUCUUCACCUUGUCGUCGUUCUUGUUCGCCUUGGCACCGCCUUUGCCGGAUUUGACCGACUCAGCGUCGCUGUCCGUCAUCGUAGAUCGUAGAUCGUCGAGGCUCUGAUACCAAUUGUUGGCUCUGGAUCUGUAGAUCAAUUCACCCAGCAGCUACCACGUACGUGCAAGCUAGCCUCUAAGCUAGCAAGCAGGCACACAGGUGGAUGGAUAUCCAAUAGAACGACGACGAGCUAGCUGACUGAUUCGAUCGUCUUGACUGCUUGGAACGUAACUCGGUGAAAAACUGAUCGAUGGAUUGCUAACAGGCUCGUAUCGAGCCUGGUACUUUUUGUAUUGCGUUUUGAUCUCUGGUGUUAUAAGCAACAUCCCUAGGGUGUCUUUUAUACACAUCCACAAGGGACUAUGAAAAUAGACUAGGACUAGGUAUCCUAAUACUACUAGGACUCGGUUUGACUAUCUUUCUUAAUCCUAUGUGUACAAGGCAACGUGAUUAACUCACAGUUCAUAGUUGAAUCUUUAAAAGGGCUUAUAUUUAAGAACGAAGGGAGUAUAAGUAGUGAGUAAGUUUGGGACACGCCGUUUUGGCUCCCGGACUCAGAUGAGCCCGAGCGUAAACAGUACGCCAGUUUGGGGUGCAAAAAAUGUUCCAAAAAAUCAAAAAAAAUUGUGAUGCAAGAUGCUCCUAUGUGUGAACUCUCUGUAAAAUUUUGUGAAGUUUGGACAUACGAGGAGCUCACUGCAAAAAAGACGAAAUUCAGAUGUGUGAGAAACUUUUGAAAAUCACACUAUUCAUGCCUGAUUUUGUCUUUUUUGCUGCAAACUCUUCAAAUGUCCAAACUUCAUAAAAUUUUACAGAGUUCACACAUCGAAGCAUCUUGCAUCAUAAAAAAAUAUUUUUUUUAAACUUUUUUGUAUUCCAAACCGUUGUACUGUUCACCGGGCUCAUACGAGCCCGGGCUCACAGAUGGAUUACCGGUAAGUUUGACAUUUGUUCUUGGUCCAACAAAACAAUGGUGUGAUCGAUGACCAAGCGGCGAUGCCGGAGUUGGAUCUCGCUGUGUGAUAUUUAUCGAUUUGUGCCCUCCACUUGGCCAGCUUAAUUGAUCGCCAGUCUCCUUCAUUGACAAUUAGUGCUGCUCAUACACAUGCGUUGCAUACAAAUGAUAUAUUGGGUUUAGGUACGGCUGUCUGAUCCACCUGGCCACCUUCUCACUAGAAAAGCUCAAGUUUGCAGCGACGAGUUUGCAUGUUACUACUCCCUGUGUACCGAAAUAUAAGACCUUUAAGAAAAAUUCCGACCAGAUGAAAAUGUGGACAAUUGACCAGGUUACCCCCCACCUCCGGCAGCUCGCUAAUUUCAAAUCAACCCAGAUCCAGUCGCCCCCCACCUCCGGCCAGCUCGCUAAUAACCCAGAUCUCACUACUCUGCUUGUCCGCUCCCUCCUCUGCCCCAGCUUGUCCGCUCCCUCCUCUGCCCCAGCUUGUGCGGCCCCUCCUCUGCCCCUACCUCCUCUGCCCAGCUCGUCUGCUAGCUACCAGCAGCUUCUCCAGUAGCCAGCGGCAGCAGCUCCUCCGGCAGCUAGCAGUAGAUCCAGCAGCUCCUCCACCAGCCAAUAGGAACUCCAGCAGCUCCUCCACCAGCUAGCACGAGCUCCAGCAGCUCCUCCACCAGACACCAGCACCAGCUCAUCCACCAGCCAGCGGCAGCCCCUCUGUCUGCCGGCAGAAGCAGCUCUUCCGCCUCUGCACUCCCAGCUGCCUCAACGAGGUCCUCUCCCAGUGAUGCACCCAUCGCCCAACAGAUCGCCGGAGGUUUUUCUUUUGAUCCAGGGUGCAGAUCGCCACAGGAGGUCCUAGUGGUGUUGGAUCCUGCUUAUCCCGUCUCCUGCAAACCAAAAAAGCAGGACAAUUAGAGGGUAUUUAUCACAACUUAGCAACAGUUGAACAGAAAACAGUUUAACAACAGCAGCAAAAAUUUUAGCGAGAUCAACAACAUCAGUAGCAGCAUCAAGACAUAGCAACAAUAGCAGCAAUAGGGAGACAUAGAAGUAGCGACAUGGAGUGGCAGCAGGAGUUCAUCAAAAUCAAUAGGGAGUAGCAGCAGCAGGAGUUCAUCACAAUCAAAAUCAACAGGGAGUGGCAACAACAUGGAAUUUGACCUCAACUGUACUCCGCCCGAAGAAGAUGAGAUCAGUCAAAAUGAGAUCAACAUGGAGGACUCACAGGGAGGCAAUGAUCAUGUUGAAGAUGAGAUCAACAUGGAGGACUCACAGAGAGGCAAUGAUCCUGGUGAACAUGAUAUGAACAUGGAGCAAAUAAGGGGAGGCAAUGAUCCCCACGAAGAUGAUAACAGUAAGCACAAUAUACUCAUUUAGCAGUAACAGUGUCUCAUUUACCAAGUUUUUGAAAAUGAACAGCAAGUCUAGUUUCUGAAGAUGAACAGUAACUCCACUUUCUAGAAAUAAACAGUAAUAGUAACUCAUUUGAUCAUUUGAACAUGUGACCAUUUAAAUAUUUUAUCAAUUUAUCAUUUGAUAAUUUGAGUAGGACUAAUAUUUUUUCAUUGUUGUGUUUCUUGUUGCAGUUCUUGAGCAAGGAGUUAGAAAGAGGAAAACUCUGAGUGACCAACAAAAAUAUGCUGCUUAUGUGGCAUUGCACAUAUUAUGUAUGAGUAGAGGUGGAAAGUUCAAGAUAACGGAUAAGAAAAACCUUGCACAUUUUUUUAAUGUAGAAUUGAGGAGUAUACAAAGAGUUUGGCAGAAGGCGAUGAAGCAAAUUUCAGAAGGUUUCGAGGUGGAUGUUUCCAACCAGAAAAAAGGAAAUGUGGAAGAAAACCAAAGGACAUCAACCUAGAGAAAAUCCCUACAAUACCACUCAAUAGUAGGUCUACUAUCAGAUCAUUAGCCUGGCAACUGGGAUGUAGCCCUACCACUCUCCACAGGAAUUCAAAAUGAAGUUGAUAAAGAGGCAUACAAACUGUGUCAAGCCAGCUCUAAAGGAAAAGAAUAAGAAGGAUAGAAUGAAAUUUUGCUUGUCAAUGCUUGAUGAGGCAACAACAAAAACUGCAAGGCCUAAGUUCAAGACUAUGCAUAAUGUUGUACAUAUUGAUGAGAAGUGGUUUACGAUGACCAAGAAGAAUAAAACUUAUUAUCUGCUGGAUGGGGAGGAAGAGCCUACAAGGCCUAUACAUGGCAACUGUAUUGGCAAGGUUAUGUUCUUGACGGGCGUAGCUAGGCCACGGUGGGAUAGUGAAGGAAAUGUGACCUUCUCUGGAAAAACCGAUGAACUCACGAUAAACUGCGUGCGCUCUUUGUCCCAGUUUCAGUUCCCUUGUUCUUGCUUUUCUAUAUCCCGAUGAACUCACGAAUCCAUGAUCCAUGGUCAAUCCCCAAUAUAUAUACUCAAGCAAUAUACUCUCUCAGCAGUAUAUAAUCAAUCAUACAGGAAAGAGUAUCACUCUCUCAGCAGAAUACAUACUCACGAAUCCAUGGUCAAUAGCAGCAUAUACUCCGUGUGGGGAUUAGUCUAGCUCGUAAGCCACGGGUCCAAAUCAAGCAAUAUAUCUACACUAGAAUCUGUAGCAGAGUACACAUCUGACAAAACCGAGAGAUGUGGAGAGGAAGGGGGUAAGAGACGGAAGGGUACCUGGGUGAGGUCGCUGAGGUGGAAGCAGCCGGUGGAGCGGUCGAGGUCGCCGCUAGGGUGUCGCCGGUGCACUGGAGCUCUGCCAACUCGUCCCCAACUCGACGCCCAGCUCGACGCCCAGUCCGGCGCCCAGCUCGAUGCCCAGGUCGACGCCGUCAUUGCUCGGGCUCGGCUUCAGCGCCUCCUUCACCCUGUCCUUGCUCGCCCAGCUCGUCGGCUUCUUGGUCUCGACGAGGCUCCCGCUGAAGUACUCCACCCCCGCCGCCGCAUAGACGAGCAACCCAACUGAGGGCGCCCGCAGCUCCCGCUGAAGUGAUCUGCUAUGUCCAGCACCACUCCGUCAUCCAUAUCCAACAUCGGCGCCCACACCAGCUCUGUCGAUGCAAAACAAACACAUUUUUGACCUUUGAGUGGGAAAGGAAGGAGAGGAAGCACGCAGUGGGAAAGGAAGGAGACAACACACGCGGUGGGCUGUGGGAGGAAGAACGCGGUGGGCUGUAGGAGGAAGAACGGUGGGCUACGGUGGCCGGCGACGACGUAGAGAGGCGACGAGGGAGGGGAAUGAGAGGGUGUGAGAUCUGGGCAGCGAGUGGAUGAGAAUGGGCAGGUGGGGGCAUUUUCGGAAACUCGGAAAGUUUCGUAGUGUCGCGAGAUUUACACUAGAAUCGCUAAAACGUCUUAUAUUUCGGUACAGAGGGAGUACAUUGGAGCAGACCUGUGCAGAUUCGUACUCCCUUCGUUUUUAUUUAUUCUGUAUAUCAGGUUUAUAUAAUGUCAAACCUAAAUCCUUUUAACAAAUUUGUAGAAAAAUAUAUCAACAUAAUCCCUUCAUUUCACAAUUUAGCGCUCGUUCGUGUGCUUUUCGAGAUCUAAGUUUGACCAUACCUUUAAACAAGAAGACCGAUUGCUAUGGGAGCAAAAAUUGAAUCACUGAAUUUGUAUUGAAAUUAAAUACUGAAUUUGUAUCGAAAAUAUAAAUUCAUUGGUAUAAUUUCUGUUGCCACCGCAGUCGGUCUCGUUGGUGAAAUUUAUGGUCAAACUUAGACCUCAAAAAACGCGAGCGCACUACAUUGUGGAACGGAGGGAGUAUACACCAUCAAAUCAAUAUCAUUGGAUUCAUCAUUUCAUAUAUUUUCACAUCAUAUAAAUUUAUUAUUGUAAAUGUUCAUAUCGUUUUCUACAAAUUUCAUCAUACUUUAGAUAGUUUGACUUCAGACAAAACUAAUAUGAGGAGUAAAUAAAAUCAGAGGGGUACCACUCCUAGUAAUUAAUGUGUAUAUCCACUAGCUGCUGAUUGACAUUCAAAUUCUCCACUUGACGAUGGCCAGAGUAUCUGAUAUUCAAACUCUCCACUUGGCCACCUUAUUUCUUCUCCCCAAAUGAGCUAUGAACUGCUCAUUCAUCCAACAUUAAAAUCACUGUGAUGAAACUCUACUCUUUCAGUUUCAUAAUUAGUGCAUAUAGUUUUUCCCCAAAAAACUAAACUUUGACAAAGAUUAUAAAUAAAAAGUCUAUAUCUAGCACAUUGAAUACAUACCAAUAGAUUCGUCAAAAAUAUUUGCAUAUAUUAUAUGAUGGUAUUGUGGAUAUACAUAGAGUUAUCUAUAAACUUGGUCAGAUUUUACAAUGUUUGACUUUUCUAUAAAACCAAUAUGCACUACACUAGGGGAUGGAGGGAGUAUCGUAUGAAAUAUUAUGUGGAAUUAUUCCGUUUCAGACAAUGUUUGGUAUCAAACACAACAGGUACAAUGUUCUAUAGUUUCUCCAAUGUGCAGAAUUAUUAGUUGAAUUGGCAAUUAUUUACAGGAGGGGAGUGCGCUGGUGUGACCGAAAACUAAGUGGAUCGAUGUAUAACAAGCUUCUUUUGGUCGGCAUCAAGACGGUGUUCCUCAUUGUCCGAAUCGAGGACCGGAGUGCAGUAAAUUUUACCAAUCUAUGAUGCGCUCUGGGUGGAUGAAACUGCUCCAAAAGUUGCCCGAGUUCAACGACUCUGUGGUGACCUACGAAUCCGGCGAGCGGCAGAAGUUGCAAGACGUCAGGUAUGAUAUCGUAGGCAACAAUAGUGACCAGUGGAGUGACAUCCUCGACACACCCAAGGGCACCCGCACCUUUAAGCUUCCCUACCCGAUGUACUAAAUCGGCUAGGUUGAAUGCUAGCUAAUCGUCCACGAAUAAGCUCCAUGUUGUUCACUAUCCAUGCUUUGUGAUUACCUUUUUUCCGGGCAUGCUUCCUCAAUACUAAUCCACUAUUACUGCUAGUUUUCUAAUUUCUAUUGAGAAAUCUAUUGCUGCUUGGUUAAAUUCCAUAGUUGGGACCUUGAGUCAGUUACUAGUAUUAAUAAGGUAUGCUACAAAGAAAUUGCAUCUUGCAUAAUCAAUGAAUCGAUGCUCCAUUUUUCCUUGAUUAUAUAAUAUAUGUAGUUUCUAUUUUACACUUUGAUUUAUUUAUUUUUUACUUUUAAUAUUUCCUUUUUUUUCAUUUUCUAGUUUUAUGUUUUAUUUUUUUAUUUGAUCUCCCUUAUGUAUUUAUUUUCUUAUUUUAUUCUUUAGAAUGCUUUCUAUUUGUAAAAAAUAAUGAAUUUUUCCAUACCCUAAUAGUUAAAAACAAUUCCGGGAUAUUAAAAUUACGAUGAACAAGGUCCUAAUAUACGUCGAGAUUUUCCCAAAUACCUGAUGAAUAGUUUUUAUAUGUUUAAGUACAUUUAUAAUUUUGUAAUUACACCAUCAAAUUUAAAUAUAUUUUAAAUAUUUGUUGAAUGCACAAAAAGCAUUUACUAAAUAAUUCGGAACAUUUGCUAUUACAUUGUGAACAUUUCUAGAAUACACAUUGAACAGUUUCCAAACCAUGAUGACUUUUCUAAAUAUGCAUUAUAAAAUUUUCAGUUACACGAACUAAACUGUUUUACCCUGAAUUAUUAUUAUUUUUAAAUUUGUUUUUUCUUAGAAUUAUAAAUAAAAUUAAAUUGAAGUGUUUCAGAGUAUAAAGGACAGAACGGGUAAAAACAAUGACAGAAAAAAUAAAAAUUGCAUUGGGUCGGGUCAUUGUGGAAUACUAUGGGCGAGCCCAAAGGAGUGUUCAUUACUGGUGAAUUAUAGUAGCAACGUGAGGGAAAGUGUGCUUCUCAGCCCGAGCUCAAAUGAGCUCUGGUGAACAGUAAAAUCCAAAAAUAAUUAAAAAAAUAUGAAAUUGUUUGGUGAAAGAAAUUGAAAAUAGUCGUAACUGCCUCCAAAAUUGUAUUAUGAAAUAACAUUUAUUGAAGCCAUGGAGAAAACAAAAUCGAUACUCCAAAAUGCUUUUGAAAUUAGUAUUUUCAGAGUAUCGAUUUUGUUUUUUUGCCACAUGUCACACAAAUGUGAUUUUCUGAUGAAAUCUUGCAAGAUAUUAGAACUUUUGCCAAUGUUUAUCACAAAAAAAAAUAGAUUUUUCUGGAUUUUUUUAAUUUAGUUUUGAUUUUACUGUUCAUCAAAGCUCAUUUGAGCUCGGGCUGAGAAACUCCACAUCCCAACGUGAGCGCCUAUUUGGUGUCGUGCUCAUUUCUGGUAGCCGACAAACUGAGUGGUUUUGUGCGUGACGUAAAAGACACAAAACAAUCAGGGCACUUCGAAGGAAUCAACGUUGUGUCCUUUCACAGGGAAUGCGUGAUGCUAGUUGCUGGCCACUCGUGCCAACAAUUUUUGCUAAUAGAAACACAACAACAAUGUGCAGGAAAUUACUGCAGCGGUGAAUUCCAAAUAUUUUCUAAAGUACACAAAUAUUUCAUCAAAUCUGAACGUUUUUUGAAAAAUCACAGUAUUUUUAAGAUGCCCAAUAUUUUUUUUAACUUUUCAGAAUAUUUUAAAUUUCAAACUUUUUUUUUAAAUUGCCAAACAUGUUUUGAAUUUGUGGACAAAACUUUUGAACAGAGAAACAGUUUUACAACAUCUGAAACCUUUUUUGGAACGCAAUAAGUUUUUCCAAAUUUCCAAGCAUUUACAGAAAAUGGAACAUAUAUUGACCAUUUCCAAACAUUUUUCAAAAACAUGAAUACUUUUUGAUUUAUGAACAUCAUUUCAAAACAGGAACAUUUUUUGAUAAUUCUGAACUAUGUUAGAAAAUGCGAACAAUUUUUGGACGUUUGUUGAGAACCCAAUCAUUUUUAGAAGAAAAACAAUUAUUAAAGUUUCAGACAUUUUUUUACUUGUGAAGUAAUGACCAAAGAAAACCAUAAAAUGUAAAACAACCGAAAAUAAGGAAAAAAGGAAAGAAAAAGUUGAAAAAAAUAAAAAUAUGAAUAAUAAAAAAUAAUAAAUUCUGGAAAGCAGUGAAAAAUAAAUCACAAAACGGAGACCAGUUUAUACGUCCUGCUGCUAUAUGACAAAGUAAAAAAUCUAAAAAGAAAAUCCCACAACAAAAGCUAUUUGACAUACCGAGCGUCAUAUAGAAAAUUCAAACAACAACCACCACAGAACGCUGAUACAGAUGACGGGCAGGUGGAUGUUUCUCAGAAUCAGAUUUUGAAGAAUCAUGAGGCGAAAAGAACUGGUGCCUGCAAUCGGCCGUGGCAUGUACACAGGUGCUAGUAAUGAUAUAAAUCACGGAUAUUGAUUUUGAAGGUCGAGCUCCAUGGAGGUCUUUGAAUGCAAAAUUCAAAAUUCAUGAAAAUAUUUUUUUUUUAUAUUUCGAAAAAUUCCGUAACAAAUACAGAGAUAGAUGAAGGCAUAAUACACAAGUGUGUAAAUUUUUAGGACCAAAUACGUUGAAAUAAGGCUGUACAAAAAAGGCAAAUCUGAGGUUGUUUAACACAUGAUACUAUUCAUCCUCUCGGAACAUGAUUUUAUAUUUUUAUACAGGUUGCAUUUCAACGUAUUUCAUCCUUGUUUAGUUUUAUAAUUGUUUUCAAAAAAUCUGAGGAUGAGGCAUAUGUCUCACAUCCUUGUUUAGUUGUAUAAUUGUUGUAAGAUUUUUUUUUUAAUUUUGAACUUUUCAAAAAAUCGGCCUCGGCCAAAACGCCUUUCUCUAUAAAUCGUGAUUUGUAUACUGGUAAGAAGAAUGAAGCAAUGCAUAUUCAACUAAACAAACUACAUAUUGUCUUGAAUUCACUCAUUUGGAAUCUAGCUAGAAAGGGUGCUUUUUAGGUGCCCAGAUUUUUUAAUUUUUUUGAGGGAAGUGACGAGGUUCUUGGGAAGAAAAGAUUUAACAGAUUCAUUGGUUUUCACAAAGAGAGCAAAUCAAUAUGAGCGCAGAAGCAAUCGAGUUUUGCCAUUAUUAAGCAACAACAUGACAUACAUGAUACAACUAGAGGUACAUAUAGCUAAAUUAGCGGAAGCCCUUUGUAUUGGUACUGCUCGCCGAGCUCCGCGAGCAGAUCGUUUUCCGCCUUGAGUAUGUCGCCCAUGUUGUCCAGCAGGAGGUACUUGUCCAGCGAGAAGCCCGACUCCGGCGAGAUGAGCGCCGCGACGUUUCUCAGGAACUCCUCGUCUAAUGGGGCAAGGGGCUCCCACUUUUGUCCCGACGUCAGCAGCGGCUUCUGAGGUCGCCGCCUCACGACCUUCAUUUUCUUCUUCUUCAUCGUCAUCCUCCUCUUCUCCCCUCUUGCGGGCGUCGGCGACUUCGCCCCCGCCUCCGUGUUCUCACACGAUGAACUCGCCAUGAUUCUUCUCCCGUCCUUCUUCCGCUGAGAAGAUUGGUCUGCUCUGCUGGUUUCGCAGACUUGCGUGCUCGCCGGCACCGGUAUAAAUACAGCAAAAAUAAGAGAUCGAUGAUUCAUUUCUUGGCUAGGGGAGCAGUUCGUUGUAUCCGACUCGUAUUCAGUCCACGGUUCCGGUUCCUACUCCCGCAUGGUCGACGCAUCGGUUGGGAUCCUAAUUGGGACGGCCCAAUGGUAGGUUAUUUUAUAGUAUUUUUAUGUAUAUUGUCUAUAAGGACGUUACUGCAUCAAAAAGAAAAGUAUAAUGGCUCUGCAUCUAGUCUAGUUGCUGAAGCGUGUGCGUCGAACAGCUUCCCCAUCGCUUAGUGACAGUUCAUGAAAUCGUGUGCGAUGACCAUUUCUAUGGAUUUUUUUUGCAUGAUAAUAUGUGUCUCAUUUAUAUCAUAAUGAAAAUAAUACAAGACCAUUGUUGUGGAUUAUAACAACACAUAUACACAGCCAAAUACAAACCCUACGGUCUUGGUCACAAUAUAGUGGUACAGGUGUCCAUUAGGACAUAUGUCCGUGUGUUGCAACGGAAAAAAAAUUAAUUUGUAUUUGCAAGCACAACACGUCAUGCUCCGCUACGAAAGAACGCUAGUUACCACAUGACCAAAACGACCAUCGAUGCAUCACUACAUCCAGAGAGUGUCACCACCUGCAGGGAGGCGCACGUCAAAGCCUUCAACAAACGCGGGGACUAUGUUACUCCCUUUGUCAGACAUUAUUAGGCUGGUGGACCACUUAGCCUCAGCCGGACAUUAAUCAUGAAGUGAGCCUUAGCGCAGAUGGUAAAGAUAUCUUCAACGUGACGAUGUGGCGUUGUGGCUCCCUGGCCCAGAUCUUCCCACCAAUGAAUAGUAAAAUCGACAAAAAAUAGAAAAAAUGAUUUUUUUUUUUGGAGUGCAAGAUGUUCCUUUGGGUGAUGUCAAAAACUGCUUGGAGCUGAUUUUUAUUUUUUUUUGCCAGACGCUCCUCGAAUGUCCAAAUACCUCGAAAUUUUGCAGACAUUUUAGCAUCUUAUGAGCCAAAAAGGAUUCAGAUUUUUUUGAUAUUGUGCUUUUCACCGGAUGCAGAUGAGCCGGGGACCAUUUUGAUUAUUAUUAUGGCUAAUCUAGUUUAAAUGUGUCAUUGUUCAUGUAGCCCACAAUCAUUUUUUCUUUUAUUGUUUGAACACACCACGUCCUUCAUUUCUUUUAAAGGUUUCCUUGCAUGUCUGCUCGUCGUGCAGUUCAUUCCUUUUAAUUGUCAUUCCUUUUAAUUGUCCGCUUUUAGCAUCCAUUUUUAACUGUCUUGCUGAUAUUCCAAGCAAACCGCAAGGUAUAUAAACCGGUAGGGAUCUAUCUAAAGAGGCAAGGUGGGUUUAUUUAACAUAAAAUAUUGAUGUCGAGUUAUUUUUAAAAAAACAGCCUCAACUUUAUUAAUUAGAGAUAAUUGUUACAUCGUCUAUUAAAAAAGAUACAAUAUUUUCCAAAGGCUCCUCAAUCCACUCACUCGUAUCAGAACUCUUUGCUAAUCUAGCAAGCUCAUGUGCUACUUCGUUCGCUUCUAGUAAAAAAAAUUCAGAAGCCAUAGAAAAACAAUCCUCAAAGGUUGCAGCCGCCGCUCCCGCAUAGUACCCUCCCUUGUUCAUUGUUUCAAUUACUUCCGAGAAUAUUGAUGUAGAGUUGGUUAGUGCAGUUGCCUUACCCUGGACAUGGAGUAUUGAGUUUAAUCUUCCAUAAAUACAUAUUUUUGUACACGUUGUUCGUGGCCCAUGGCAGACGGCCCAAUAUUGUAGCGAAGCCCAGCAGUGCAGCAACCUGACAUGGUACGAUAGAUGGUGAGGUGUAUGCGUGCUAGCAACGUAAGAAAACGGCCAGGGAGAGGCAAUGUAUGUACAAUAUUUUUAACCAUGGAUUCAAGCUCGUAAAAUUUUGAGACUUUUCCAUAAAACUGUAUGACAGACUAAGAAUACAUAUUUUCUUAAUUAGUAGGUAUAGAUGCGGCAAGUGGAUUGUUUCCUGGUUUUGGGAAGUUUCCAUAAGCUUUUCAGACGGUUUUUCAUUUUUUCUAUUUUGGGGUUUUCCUGUACCAAUCUUGUCUAUUUUUUAUUUUCUACUUAUUUUCAUUUUGCUUUAUUGCAUAUUCUUUUACUUUUUUUCAUUUUCCUUUUUCUAUUUAAUUUUGGCAAAACACGAAUUGUUUCAAUUUUAUGAUACUUUUUUUAAUUGAGGAACUCCUUUUCGAACUCGUUUUUUCAAGUUCAUCAUUAUUAUUUUUUAAAAUUAUCACCUUUUUAAAAAAUAUAUGAACUAUUUUUAAUGUUUGUGAACGCUGUCUCAAAAUUGAUGAACUUUUUUCCUAAAUGCUGAAGUUUAUUUUAAAACUGAUGAACUUAUUUUAAUAUUUGAUGAUCUAAUUUUAAAACCGGAGAAUGUUUUUGCAAAAUAGACGAACUGUUUUUCUAGCAUAUGUACCUUUUGAAAAUUCAUGAACUUUUUUUCAAUUUUUGGGCUUUUUUUAAAAGUUGAUGAGCUUUAUUCAAAAUCGUGAAAUAUUUUCCAUCUAUGUGCAACCUCUUUUUUCAAAAUCAUGAACAUUUUCGAAUUGAUGAACUAUUAACAGAGAUUAUACGCAUGACCUUUUUUGAAUUCGCAAACUUUUUGUUGAAAUAUCUGCAUUCUAUUUGAUUUUCUGAUUAUUAUUUUCAAGCUAGCGAGCGUGCUCGUGGGCUCACCCAUGCUAGCAAUGGUGCGAGCUGGCACUGGCGCAAAACGCGUCAAUUAGGAAGAGCAACUAAUUAAGGAGUACUCGUCCGAGAGCCUCUCGAAGGGUCCAUUGCCACGUGUCGUACUCUUGGUGUUUCCUUUGGAUUUUUUUCUAUACAUAUUUAUGUCUGGAAUUUUGGCUUUAAGAUGAUUUUGUUUUCCGGGUUUUUUUGGCUUUUCCGUUUACCCCCGAUUUUUCUUACAAUUUAGACCCAAAAAUAAGAUUUUAAAGAAAAAUCACAAAAAAAUGCAUUUUCUCUUUCUUUUUUCCUACCCUGAGAGACAUGGAUUUGCUUCUCUUAGAGGCACAUGUGCCUCCUGAAAAAGCAAAAAAAAUGUUUUUUCCUUCCGCGAGGCAAGGUCGUGCCUCUCAGAAAAGAAAAAAGAUCCAUUUUUCCUUUCACGGAAGUACGGAUUUGCUUCCCUGAAAGGCCUAGUCGUGCAUCUUGAAAAAGGAAAAAUGCAUGUUCUCAUGAAGGAAAACAACGUGGUUUUAGUUUGGUUUUUUUGUUUGAUUUUUUCGUGAAAAAAAGUCCAACGAAACAUAUCAACAUGUGGUCUAGUUUUUAAGAUCUCGACGCAUGGAAUCUAACGGCAAAACCAGUUCUAGAUUUGGACGUAGGUUUUGAGAGAUAAAAUGUUUUGAAUAAACAAAUCUGCGAAAAAGGAAAAACCCUUAGGUUGCUACAAGUGACGCACAUGCAGUUGAAGACUUGUCGCACCCUGGGUUGGGGGAGUGAUCUUUGCCAAGAGUAGUUUUCAAUUAGUGAUUUCGCUAAUUAGAAGCUCGCAUCAUCUCCGAUGCGAGCACUAGUGGAUCAGCCCAUGUGCGCUCAUAUGGGUUUUUUGGAGCGGCUUUUGGAAGCUUCUAUGGAGCUGUUUAGACAAAUUUGAAAACCUUUCAUUCAUUUUUUAUGUGUUCACUAUAUAGAUUUACAUGGACUAAAGUAAAAUGUAGAUUUACAUUAUUUUUUCCCUUAGUUUUCUUUGUGUGUUUUUAUUCAUUUUUUGAAUACACAUGGAAUUUUUGGAAAUACAGUUCGAAUAUUUUUUGUUUACAUGUUAUUUCUUUUAUACACGUUGAUGAUUUUUGUAGACACAUUUAAGUGUUUUCCAAAAUAAACAGUAUUGAUUUGUCAAAUGAACAUUGGAUUUCUUAUGAAUAUAAGGUGAACAUUUAUGAAACACCCAUUGAACAUUUAGAAAAAUUCCAUGAACAUUUUUUUCUUAAAGCAUGCAAAACAGUUCUUAAUGUUAGAACAUAUUUUUUAAUGUCAAAGACAUUUUUGUUGAAUGGUACAAAAUAUUAUUUAAAAUUACAAGACCAUUUUUACAUACUAGAAACAGUUGUGGAAAAUGUUAUGACCAUAUUUUUGAAACGGCUGAAUAUUGUUUAAAUUUCAUAAAUAUAUUUAGAAUGGUAUGUCAAAAGUUUAAAAAUAUGUGAAUAUUGUUUCUACAUUGUAUAAAAAAUUUAAAAACUGUCAUGAACAUAUUUCUGAACACAUGAACUAAAUGUCAGGAACAUUUUUCGAAUGGUACAAACAUUUUUAAAAUUGUGGAGACAAUUUAUUACACUACAUGAACAUUUAUUUGAAACACGCAAUGAACAAGGGGUAAGGGACACGUGUCAUGUGCUUUGCUAGCGCAUCGUGGUUGCUGAGUGUCUCAUUCCUUUGUUGUUGAGUUUUGUUUUAGUGCGGAGUGUUUUUACAGUAUACUCGAGAAAGAUCCUACGUUACGAAGGAUGUGUUUGGUAGGCGUUUCUAGCGGGACUGGCUCGUGGACAUUGGCUCAACAAAGUUUGGUUGAGAUAAAACGAUCAUAAAACUAACAUCUGCAUUUAGUUUGGUUGCCGGCAUACAUUCUAAACUGAAUGGGGUGUCAUGAAAGACAUACUAUUUGGUUGUCUGUUUGUGUAUGCGCAAACACAAGGCCUACUAUUUGGCUGCAUGCAACACUUGUUGUGAGAUAACCUCUUCGAUGCGGUGGUGAGGUUACCAUCACAUAGCGGCGUCAGGAAGAACACACAACAUAACAUAGUAGUAAGCAGUUAUAAAUAUUGUGUCACAUUUAAAUAGAUUAGUUUAAAUGCAAAGCAGUUCAAUAUUAAACUAAAGCAACUAGAGCAUAUGAGCGGUUGUCCUAGACGUUCACAACGAAGGCAUCGUCAUGUCUCCCGCACCAGGCCACCACUUUACUGCCAUCGUCAUUGAAGACGAUGACCUUCACCAUGUCGGGAGUCAUCAACUGUGACCAUGAAGCCUAUCUUGAUUUGUUGGACGGCGACGAAGGUGGCCCAAACCUGGUCGAGGGUGACCCUUUCGUUCAACAGACGGACAAUGACCCUCCUAGAGCACUCGGUGUUCGCCUUCAAAUUGAACUCCUGUGGCAUAGACGGGAAGUGCUUCAUGAAGUCGAGUGGCAUAGGUAUGGCCUCGAGUGGCAUGAUUACCUUGCAGAAGUUAUUUGGCUCACCCAUCUCAUGGUAGUGGUCGUAGUUCUGACGCUUGUCGCUGGGGGGCUCCUCCGCGUAUCGUUGUCCGUGACCGGGCUCUGGACAGGCGCCACCUUUGAGGGCGGCACAACAUCCUUGCACUUGUAUUGCUCCUUUGGUGGCACCACCUCAUUGCCCUUGUUCUCCGUGUCGAUUUGCAGUGUGAAGAGGUUCAAACGAUUGGGUCAGGAUUUGCAAUAUGAACAUUGCAUCAUUGUCAUUAACUUAUUGUCGAGAACCCCAUUAUUUACCUAGGCUGAUGGUUACCACUUACCCACCACCUAGUUGUUUGUCUCUCUUCCUCCAACCCAAUGCCAUGAACUCUAAGAACAAGUCUAACCCCAUCCGCAACCCCUUUCCUUGGGGCAUUGGAUGGAGGGCCUUCUUCCUAGGGUGCUCGCUCGAUGACCGCACCAAGUUUGAGAACACCAUGAAAGUGUGUUCAAACUUCAACAGCUUGGAGGAGCAGUACAAAGAGUAGGACGCUAUGGUGAAGAAGGCGAGUCGGAGGAGUUGAAGACGCUGAUCAGUGACCCAAUGAAGGGUUCUAUGUGAGCCGACAUACUUCAUUGAGCCAUGAAUCAAGCCGUCCCCGGCGACGCUGGACAGAGGGAAAACUGAGCCAAGUACAGACAGCAUCGGUGUUCUUAUGACCACGGGGCCGCAACGUACUUCACCACAAAGAUUAUGGUGGUGCCGGUGGAGGAGCAUCAAGAAGUGCUGGCUAUGGAGGUGGAAGAGGAAGAUGCAGUGGCGACGAUUGUGAGGGCGCUGGAGCUAGGACACCUAAGCAUGCCAAUCAAGUUGGACUCCGGCGAGGAAGAAGAUAUGGUGGUGUAGGUCGAGGAGAAGACCAAGGCCAAGGCUACCCACCGCUCCAAUCGCCUCCAGGGUCCUGUGUACUAUGUAAGAUGAACCCUAAUCCCCAUUCCGAUUGUACUCAAUCCUGAUUGGGAACCUCAUAUCUACCCGUAGUCAUGACGAUGUUAUGACCACUCCUAUGGUGUUUACCCCGAUUCCCCAUUCUCCUAACAUGGAUCGAACCUAAACUCGGAUCAAAUGCAAAGUAGUACAUGAGGAGGGGGGAAAGUGCUUACCGCCAUUGCCGAAGUGCUGCUGUGGAUGCCGGUGAAGAGGCCGGAGUCGAUUUGCUGUUCCUCGAUCUGAUGCACGCCAUCGCCGCCGUCGGUGAGAGUAGGGAGAGUGGAAAGAGAGCGGUGAGAAAAGGUAAGGGUAAUGACUGUCGACGCUUCGGGAAACAACGCGGCUUCUCAAGGGUGGCUCCCCUUGUGCAACCCCUGCCGCCCACGUGCAUCGCAGAGGCCUGGCUCGCGAGAAACUACCAAUUCGAACGUGCCUCGCGAGACAUACCCAGACAUGCUUUAAAGUUCGUGACAUGCAGGCCCAACAAUGUAUGUUGACAACCAAUCAGUUUGUUUUCUUUCCACGGGCCUGGUUGGACCUUAUGCGGGCAACCAAACGCAUCCCCAAGUGUUGUUUAUUUGUCGGAAUUUUCUAAGGUACUGGGCAAACGACAUGUGUACUGAGUGCCCAUGAAAUUACACCAGGCAAACUGUAAAAUACUCAGCGUAAUUUUUUUCCUGUAGUUGUACAAUUGGCUGCGCUGCAGUUCCAAAUUUGAUAAAGUUACAAGGUUGGUGUACCAGAAAUUCAUUAUCUACCAAUCAUCAAUAUGUAUGCACAAAACAGUUGCCUGUCUGGGCCUUUGUAUCAACGUCCAUCCAUGUGUAACACGUUCAGCGGAACCGUCUACCAAACGUCUGACAGACACAGACACGUGCAUAUCCUCCAAACCGGGCAGGCUGGUUGCUUGCGCCCUCGUCGCUUUCUUGUCGAACUGGCUCCAUAUAUAGACUAAUGCACACCACAGUUCAAUUUCCAUUUUCGUUUCAGUCAUCGUACAUAUGACUGCAUUAUUCAGCUAACGUUUAAGCAUAGGGAUUUUUAUUUUCAUGUCCCGUCUUUCUUAGUUAUGAUUAGUUUUGCCCCGUUCAUUUAACAUUGCUCACUUUUUUCCCUUCUUUACUCAUCUACGCCUCGUAAAAGAUCAAACGGUGUGUUGACAUUGGGUUAGACCAGGGGCGGUCCUCAGAUUUUGGGGGCCCGGGGCUGGAUUAAAAGCCGGGGCCCUUAAUAUAGACAUAAUAACAAUAACACUGAAUAUACGUACCGGUGAAAUAUAAACACUUAAAUACGUCUAAUACUAAUAUGCAUAUCAAAUGUUUUAAAAAUAUUACCUCAAACAAUAAUUCUGACAUACCUUGAUGCAAAGGCCAUUAUGAUGGCGUCGAUGUUAAUAGCGUCCAAUAAUUUCUUCUCGAUGACAUAAUGUCACCAGACCAUAUAAACACUCUUGGUUCAUCGGUGACCUCACAUAGUUCUUCAAUCAAUAUUUCCAACUUCAGAGAGCUUCUUCCGACCAAUACGAUAGUCACAGGCAUAGUAAAUAGGAUGCAAUAAGCAAUGGAAAUAUCAGGAUAACAGCCAACUUCUAUUGACAUGCUGCAAAUCUCCAUUGCAGAUAUUACAGUCAUAUGGCAGAAUGAAUCCCACAAUUUUUAAUUUAGAAGUAAGAUCAUACUCCCUCCGUUCCUAAAUAUAAGACCUUUUAAAGAUUGCACUAUAAACUAUAUAGGAUGUACAUAGACAUAUUUUAGAAUAUAGAUUCACUCAUUUUGCUCCGUAUGUAGUCUCCUAGUUGAAUCCCUAAAAGGUCUUAUAUUUUAAAACGGAGGGAGUAUAUCUCAACAUCAUGAUACACAAUGCUGACAAAUAACAUUAAUUGUUGAACAAUAUCGAUGUACCGGCGAUGCAUCUACAGAAGCACAAUAAGAAUAUAUGAUAUACGUACCUCGGAUGGCUGAAUCAGCCAUGACGGAAAAUCAAAGCCGGAUUAUAGGACGCCCCGACGAAUUGAAAUCGACGGCGCGCAGCUGAUGAUCUAAAUUAGGAAAGAAAUUAGGUUUGGGAGAAAAGUAGAAAGGAGGGUCGAGCACGCAGUGGCGAACAGACGAUGCGUCGGCGGCCGCUAGGAAUCGCUGCGUCAAUGCGAGAUGGAAUAGGAAGGGAUCAAUCACUCCUAUUUUUUCGUGAAAAAACGGAAGGAACGGUUGCUGCCUUUGUGCCUCGCUGGACUGCUGGGUGCAUGUUUGCCUGCAUGCUACGUGAGGCCCAGUCAACCAACCCGAUAGGUCAUUUUUUUCUGAUCUGUAAAAACAUUAAAUAUGUUUGGACAAAGCCUAUGUACAUACGUGGGGAGGGCCCCCUAAACUUUGGGGGCCGGGGCGGCCGCCCCCCCCUGCCCCUCCCCUCGGCCGGCCCUGCGGUUAGACUACCAACAAUGAAAGUAACAUAGGUGGUAACAUAGAUAUCAUCUAAACAACAAAUGUGAUGUGGCAACUAAUUAAAGAAAAGUAAGAGAAAUUGAAUAACUUAGCAUGUUACUCAUAUUAGGAGUAACAUAGCGGAUACCAAGGCAAGAUGGGUGUAUAGGCUAAUAAAUAAAAGACUCAAUGUUACUACCCCUAUGUUACUAUCCACUAUGGAGGUAGUAACUUAGAUUAGUAACAUAUGUAUGUUACUCCCCAUUGGUCUUUCAGCGGCGUUCAGAGACUCCUUCAUAUUAUUAGACAUAAUUAUGUCUAGAGACACAACACACGAGGCUAUACGUAAAUCACCCUUAGAAUACCAGCGAGCUCUCGUUUAACCUACGGACCCGAUGGGCCAUGUUAAGACUGGUAUGAAUACCAGCAAGCUCGCUGACAAGGAUCCGACGACUCCAUUACCCCUCGCAUCGCUUAGAGAAAAAACCCGAUACAAGUCACCCCCUUGACUUGAUCUGGAAUUAUCUGCGAGAUGCCAUCUAUGCUCUCAUCUAUCAACAAUUUCAACACAUGUUCUGCCGGAGUUUUGGUGCUUGGAAACCAUGAGCAAACCGCUUGUCACUUCUCCCGUGAGAGAGCGUCACCGGCACAGAACACCUCCAAUGGUUUCGUGAUUGCCGAUGGCGGCUGCAGGAUUGGGGGAGGUAGGCUGCUCGGGCUGCGGGGGAUGCGAAUUGAGAGAGAGAGAGAGAGAGAGAGGGAGGGAGAGGGAGAGGAAGAGAGAGAGAGAGAGAUUUCGUCCCCCUUUUUAGGACAAAUGACCCAACCAUCCACUAGCCGGUCCCACAUGUCAGCAUUUCAUGUCAGUCCCAUGCGUCCACGCGUCAACACCGGACGAAGUAACGGUCAACAGUUUUGACCCGACGGUGAGGCAUUGUUUGGCCUUUUGCGAGACGGAGGCGAGUAGAGGAGGGAGAAAAGUGAGUAAUGUUAGACGGACGAGGCAAACUGAGCACAACUAAGUAACGAUGGACGAGGCAACUUACGUAAAACCAGCUACAAUUAUAAUAGCUUUCGAUGUACACCCGUGUGAUCACCAGCCAUCUAACAACCUUUGCCGACAGUUGUCCUUCAUCCACAAAGACAACAUCAUCCAAAUAAUUCACUUGCAAUCCAGGUUUCUCUAUCAUCUCUUUGGACAUUGUGAUAUUUACUAAUUCCCGAUCCAGAGGUCUCAUACGCCAUGGCGAUGUCAUGACCAGUCUAGGAGAAGAAGCACCUCGUAAACUAGAGCGGAACAGAACCUGGGUUUUCUAGGCAUGGCCUCUCGAUAAGAAGUUGAGAAGAUUAUGGCUGAUACAUGGUGAGAUAGGAUGAGGUGUCUACGCUGCCAUACGACAAAACCCUAGUAACAGGGGAUGCUUUAUCUGUGUUAUUUUUUAAUUAAAUCACAUGAAUAAUUGGCCGUGUGUAUGUAAUUCUAUAUUAAUAUAAUAGGACACAAAGAGGCAGGUCCAUAUCAUCUCGGCCAACAAAUCUAAGAUUUGAUGGUUCAUGUUGAGCACCAAGAGACGAAAACCGCUCGCGUCGCCUCCAGGGGGCGACACGGGCGCCCUAGCCGCCGUCGCCCUCGACCUCCCUCCUCCCCCGCUUCCCCGCCGUUGCCGGAGGAGGCCGGCGAGCGAAGCUCGCCCGGCGGACGACGGACGGCGGGCCUUCCUCCCUUCUUCACGAGGGGGUCCUUUGGCUGAGAUGCGACGGCGCCCCUGGGGGUACAACAUGGAGGCGGAGUUGGCGUGCUCGGGCGGCGUGGGAUCCCGGCGGCGCUGCGGGGGCUGGCGGCGGCGGAUCUGGGGUUCCCCACCCCAGAUCGGUUCUCCUCCGGGUGGUCGGGCUCAGGCGCCGUCCAGCGGCCCUAAGCGGUGGUGGACGCGCGCGUUGACUGUCCUCCUUCACAGAUGUGAUUGGAAACGACAGGAGGUGUUGGCGUGCUGCUAGAUCUGAACAAGGUGAUGGCGUCAUCCCCUUCAUCAGGGAUGACGACCAGGUGGUGGGUUCUUGUGGCGUCGCCGGUGGCGGCGGAUCUUGGGAUCCAGUUCCCGGGGACGUCGUGGGAUGUGGUGGCCCGUGCAGGAGAGAUGGGUUCUUCGAACAGAUCUGGGUCAAAGCUUGCUUUCGGCUAUUGCUAAGGUCGGCGAUGGCGGCGCUGUCUACAUCGUUCCCUUCCUGAAGGCAUCGCCGAGGAGAACUUCAGGGCCACUCUCUGCUACCUCCUGGGGUAACCCUAGAUCAGUAGAUCGGAUGACGGCGACGCUCUGGUGUCAUUUCCCCCUUGGGGGCGUCAUUCAUGGUGGUACACACGGGCUCGAGGGACCAUUGGUCGGCAUUUACGAUGGAGCAGCGUUCCUAGUGACACAUCGACGUUGUGGAGUCUCGGCGGCGAGGCGCGGCAAAGUCUCGGCAAUGAAUGCAUGAUGAUGAGCACGCGUAGGGAGGAGGCGUUGUCUGGCGCCGUGGGGGCAUCGAUGGCAGGCCUUGCAAGGUCGAUGCGUCAGUAAUUUUUCUGAAGAUGGAUUGAUGGAAGGCGGCGACGACGACCUAUGAGGGUGCGUCGGACCGUUUGUGCCCCUGACCCGGUAUGUGGCUCUGUCGGGGCCUCCGGCUUUAGAUGUUAGGCUAGGUGAGAGGUCUGGGUAUGUGGCUCACACUUUCUGCACCCCCUUCAUCAUUGUAUAUGAGUAGCGACAGAUGUUGCCAAGAGGACGGCUUCAGACAUACGCUUAACACUCUAGCUAAUUGACCACCAGUAGCACGGGAGAGGUGUUUUGGCUCCCGGGUAUAUGCACUCGGAUGAACAGUACUGCGAAAAAAGUUCUAAUUUUUUUUGUAGAUGAUUGUAUUAGUGUCGCAAAUAUGCAUGACAAUUUUCGUGCGAUAAGGAGCAACGGUGUUUCAUCAGCAAAAAAGACAAAUUUAGGAUGACAUUUUGGGGUAACUUUUGGUGUUCAAUUUGUUUUUCUUGCACAAACCAAAAUGUUUUAUCUUUUUGUCUCAAAAUUUACAAGUAGUAUUUGGAUGUGACAAAGCAUACAAACAAAUUUUGUCUCAUUUUUUUCCAUUUCAAACUUUUUUUUGGCCCCGAAAGCAUAUGCCGGGAGCCGAAUUGCAUUUCCGCCGGUAGCACUAGUUACAUACACACUAGACUCCGCGCAAUCCCAUGAAAUCUGUUUGGCGAUUAACAUACGGCUAAAUAUCAACAUGCAAAUAUUAUCUUACCAAAUGUACCAAAUGUGUAACUAGUAUCUUAAUUCUACUCCCUUCAUAAACUAAUAUAAAAACAUUUAAAAACAAUGCUUUAGUAAUCUAAACGCUUUUAUUUAAUUUACAAAAGGAGUGCUACCUAAUAUCAACAUGCAUUGCACCAACUCCCUUCAAGGUCUAAUGCGUUUUUAGGGUUGCCCUUGACUAUUGAUAAGAUUAAUAAUAUAUGAGAUCUAUGAUAAAGAGUCUUUUCACAUCCGAAUUUGACAAUAUACCUGUAACAUGCAAGUUAUAUAUAUAUAAUUGCUCUAACCCGUGGCCAAAGGAAAUCUUGCAAAAUGUAUCGGAUGAAGGGAGAACAUGAUAAUACCAGUCUAACAAAUAUAUCCUCUCCAAUCGCAAACAUUUAUCCCCUUGGAUCACAACCAUGCAUACCCCUUUUGAGUACUCCCUCCGUCCCAAAAUUAAUGUCGAGCAUGUAGUUCAUUGGGAAUUUUGCAAAAAAAAACCUCGUAUUUACAAAAUCGUCUCAAACAAGCACCUCCACCCCUAUCUUCUUCGUCCGUCCUCGCCCGUGCAUCGCGAGAGGCCGCGCCGUCGAACUGGAAGGGCUCCGCCGCCGUCGCCGCCAAUUACCUCCUCCAUCACCACAACCCAGAUCUGCGCCACCGGAUCUCUUCCCGCUGCAGUUACCUGUCGGCGUCGUUCUCGAGCUCCUGCCGGCGUCGGAACCUUCCGCCACUUCGUCCUCUGGCUCCCAUGCGUCAUCCUCGAGCUCCCGUGCAUCCUCCCCAAGCUCACGCGCAUCCUCGCUGGAAUCUCUACUGCUCCUUCUCCCUUGCAGCCGGUGUGCCUGCUUAUCCCCUGUCACCGGAGGAGCUCCUCUGCACGUACUUGUUGGAAUUAUGCCCUANNNNNNNNNNNNNNNNNNNNNNNNNNNNNNNNNNNNNNNNNNNNNNNNNNNNNNNNNNNNNNNNNNNNNNNNNNNNNNNNNNNNNNNNNNNNNNNNNNNNNNNNNNNNNNNNNNNNNNNNNNNNNNNNNNNNNNNNNNNNNNNNNNNNNNNNNNNNNNNNNNNNNNNNNNNNNNNNNNNNNNNNNNNNNNNNNNNNNNNNNNNNNNNNNNNNNNNNNNNNNNNNNNNNNNNNNNNNNNNNNNNNNNNNNNNNNNNNNNNNNNNNNNNNNNNNNNNNNNNNNNNNNNNNNNNNNNNNNNNNNNNNNNNNNNNNNNNNNNNNNNNNNNNNNNNNNNNNNNNNNNNNNNNNNNNNNNNNNNNNNNNNNNNNNNNNNNNNNNNNNNNNNNNNNNNNNNNNNNNNNNNNNNNNNNNNNNNNNNNNNNNNNNNNNNNNNNNNNNNNNNNNNNNNNNNNNNNNNNNNNNNNNNNNNNNNNNNNNNNNNNNNNNNNNNNNNNNNNNNNNNNNNNNNNNNNNNNNNNNNNNNNNNNNNNNNNNNNNNNNNNNNNNNNNNNNNNNNNNNNNNNNNNNNNNNNNNNNNNNNNNNNNNNNNNNNNNNNNNNNNNNNNNNNNNNNNNNNNNNNNNNNNNNNNNNNNNNNNNNNNNNNNNNNNNNNNNNNNNNNNNNNNNNNNNNNNNNNNNNNNNNNNNNNNNNNNNNNNNNNNNNNNNNNNNNNNNNNNNNNNNNNNNNNNNNNNNNNNNNNNNNNNNNNNNNNNNNNNNNNNNNNNNNNNNNNNNNNNNNNNNNNNNNNNNNNNNNNNNNNNNNNNNNNNNNNNNNNNNNNNNNNNNNNNNNNNNNNNNNNNNNNNNNNNNNNNNNNNNNNNNNNNNNNNNNNNNNNNNNNNNNNNNNNNNNNNNNNNNNNNNNNNNNNNNNNNNNNNNNNNNNNNNNNNNNNNNNNNNNNNNNNNNNNNNNNNNNNNNNNNNNNNNNNNNNNNNNNNNNNNNNNNNNNNNNNNNNNNNNNNNNNNNNNNNNNNNNNNNNNNNNNNNNNNNNNNNNNNNNNNNNNNNNNNNNNNNNNNNNNNNNNNNNNNNNNNNNNNNNNNNNNNNNNNNNNNNNNNNNNNNNNNNNNNNNNNNNNNNNNNNNNNNNNNNNNNNNNNNNNNNNNNNNNNNNNNNNNNNNNNNNNNNNNNNNNNNNNNNNNNNNNNNNNNNNNNNNNNNNNNNNNNNNNNNNNNNNNNNNNNNNNNNNNNNNNNNNNUGUUGGAAUUAUGCCCUAGAGGCAAUAAUAAAUGUGGUUAUUAUUAUAAUUCCUGUAUCAAGAUAAUAGUUUAUUAUCCAUGCUAUAAUUGUAUUGAAUGAAGACUCAUUUACAUGUGUGGAUACAUAGACAAAACACCGUCCCUAGCAUGCCUCUAGUUGGCUAGCCAGUUGGUCAAUGAUAGUCAGUGUCUUCUGAUUAUGAACAAGGUGUUGUUGCUUGAUAACUGGAUCACGUCAUUGGGAGAAUCACGUGAUGGACUAGACCCAAACUAAUAGACGUAGCAUGUUGAUCGUGUCAUUUUGUUGCUACUAUUUUCUGCGUGUCAAGUAUUUAUUCCUAUGACCAUGAGAUCAUAUAACUCACUGACACCGGAGGAAUGCUUUGUGUGUAUCAAACGUCGCAACGUAACUGGGUGACUAUAAAGAUGCUCUACAGGUAUCUCCGAAGGUGUUAGUUGAGUUAGUAUGGAUCAAGACUGGGAUUUGUCACUCCGUGUGACGGAGAGGUAUCUCGGGGCCCACUCGGUAAUACAACAUCACACACAAGCCUUGCAAGCAAUGUAACUUAGUGUAAGUUGCGGGAUCUUGUAUUACGGAACGAGUAAAGAGACUUGCCGGUAAACGAGAUUGAAAUAGGUAUGCGGAUGCUGACGAUCGAAUCUCGGGCAAGUAACAUACCGAAGGACAAAGGGAAUGACAUACGGGAUUAUACGAAUCCUUGGCACUGAGGUUCAAACGAUAAGAUCUUCGUAGAAUAUGUAGGAUCCAAUAUGGGCAUCCAGGUCCCGCUAUUGGAUAUUGACCGAGGAGUCUCUCACGUCAUGUCUACAUAGUUCUCGAACCCGCAGGGUCUGCACACUUAAGGUUCGACGUUGUUUUAUGCAUAUUUGAGUUAUAUGGUUGGUUACCGAAUGUUGUUCGGAGUCUCGGAUGAGAUCACGGACGUCACGAGGGUUUCCGGAAUGGUCCGGAAACGAAGAUUGAUAUAUAGGAUGACCUCAUUUGAUUACCGGAAGGUUUUCGGAGUUACUGGGAAUGUACCGGGAAUGACGAAUGGGUUCCGGGAGUUCACCGGGGGGGGCAACCCACCCCGGGGAAGCCCAUAGGCGUUGGGGGAGGCACACCAGCCCUUAGUGGGCUGGUGGGACAGCCCACAAGUGCUCUAUGCGCCAAGAGAAGAAAAAUCAAGAGGAAAAGGGAAAAAAAAGGAGGAGGUGGGAAAGGAGGAGGACUCCCUCCCACCAAACCUAGUCCAACUCGGUUUGGGGGGGGGAGAGUCCUCCCCCUUGGCUCGGCCGACCCCCUUGAGGGUCCUUGGACCCCAAGGCAAGGCCCCCUCCCUCCCACCUAUAUAUACGGAGGUUUUAGGGCUGAUUUGAGACGACUUUUCCACGGCAGCCCGACCACAUACCUCCACGGUUUUUCCUCUAGAUCGCGUUUCUGCGGAGCUCGGGCGGAGCCCUACUGAGACAAGGUCAUCAUCAACCUCCGGAGCACCGUCACGCUGCCGGAGAACUCUUCUACCUCUCUGUCUCUCUUGCUGGAUCAAGAAGGCCGAGAUCAUCGUCGAGAUGUACGUGUGCUGAACGCGGAGGUGCCGUCCGUUCGGUACUAGAUCGUGGGACUGAUCGCGGGAUUGUUCGCGGGGCGGAUAGAGGGACGUGAGGACGUUCCAAUACAUCAACCGCGUUCUCUAACGCUUCUGUUGUACGGUCUACAAGGGUACGUAGAUCACUCAUCCCCUCUCGUAGAUGGACAUCACCAUGAUAGGUCUUCGUGCGCGUAGGAAAAUUUUUGUUUCCCAUGCGACGUUCCCCAUCAGUACUGCUGCUGGUCAUCUGCCUGAGUUGUUGCUGCUCCUCUGCUGGAGUUGAUGCUCCUCUGCUCGAUCUACUCUGCCGCUGGUGAAGCUCUGCCCGUGGUACUGCUAUUCCUCUGCCCAUUUGCACCUGAAGAAGGUACUGAUGAAACUGUUUGUUGUUUACUGCUACCUAAAACUGCUGUUGUUUGAGAAACUGCAUUGCUUGAGAAACUUGUAAUGUUGUGGUAUCGAAAAUAAUUUUGUGCAAUACUUGUAAUGUUGUGGUAUCAAAAAUAAUUUUGUGGAGUAUCAGAAACAGAGAAGCCUGGUUCAAGGUUUUGCACUGGAAACAGAGCAGUCUGGUUCAAGGUUGUGCACUGGAAACAGAGCAAUCUGGUUCAAGGUUUUGCCUAGAUAAACCAGACCGGAUGAGAGACCAAAUACAUGGGCAAGUAGUCAAAAGAAACACAUAAUUUGCCUAGAAUCUUGUUGUCCUGUGAUGCAAGAAAAUUUCACCAUGUGUAUGUUGUGGAACGCUUACAGUUGCACAAAUCAGACAUAUCAGUAGGUUGGUUCAGGUGUUGGUUCUUGGCCUAUUAACAUAGAAAGCCCCUUUGUAACUACUAGGACAAUCAGCUUGUGUAAAGAUCAUAUUUAGAGACGAAUUGCAAGCAUUAACCUGAUCUUAACAUAUAUAAAUGGAUAUUAAGUUUUCCAUUUUAGGCGAAUACAGAUAGAGGUUUCAACUAGACCUAGUGAGAAAUGGUUCCAUGGUAGCAUUUCUUGUUUGGCUGUCGUAGCUCGAUUACAUAUUGUUUUUACGUGCGUAUAUAUUCUUGUUACAGUACCAUGGUGUACUCAUCUUUUGUCAUUGAUAGCAGGAGUAUGGAUUUGAACAUGAUACCUCAAGAGGAGGAUGAAGGUAUUAAUUUGAAUUGGAUCCCUCAAGAGGAAGAGGCUCAAGGGGGAGAGGAUGGAGGUAUGGAUUUGAACAUGAUGCCUCAAGAGGAAAAGGAUGAUGGUAUUAAUUUGAAUUGGAUCCCUCAAGACGAAGAGGAUCCAGGGGGAGAGGAUGGAGGUAUGGAUUUGAACAUGAUGCCUCAAGAGGAAGAGGAUGAAGGUAUUAAUUUGAAUUGGAUCCCUCAAGAGGAAGAGGCUCAAGAGGAAGAGGAUGAAGUUAUGAAUUGGAUACUUCAAGAAGAAGAAGAAGGUCAAGAAGGUGUACCAGGUAAACAGAAAAGAAAAGAAUUGUCAAAUAAGGAGAGGCAUGCUGUUUACUUUGCUCUGCUAGUAAUCGAGCUCAGAGAUGGAUCUGUUCAACCAAACGACAAGCUGCUAGUAUCAAUCUUGUUGAACAUACAUGUACGAUCUAUUGAGAGAAUCUGGUCGGAGCCAAAAAGCAGAUUGCCGCGGGCCAAGAAGUAGAUGUCUCCAACAAGAAGAAAGGAAGAGUUGGUCGAAAGAGAAAAGAGCUGGAUCUUGCAAGGACCUCAACAAUCCCAUUGAAUAGAAGAAGGACAAUUCGAUCUCUGGCACGGUCUCUCGGUGUGACCCGCUCAACCCUACAUCGGAGGUUCCAGUUAAAUGAGCUCAACCGCAUCACAAACACAGUCAAGACUUACCUCAAACCAGAGAACAAGAUUGCAAGAUUGAAGUUUUGUAUGUCCAUGCUCGAUGACAAUUGGAUCUCAACUUCCCAAGCUAUAUUCAAGCCAAUGACUAAUAUGGUCCAUAUAGAUGAAAAGUGGUUUGACAUGACAAGACUAAAGAACAACUACUAUGUACUUCCAGGAGAGCCUCCACCUGAGCGCACCGUGACAAACAUUAACAUCAUUGGGAAGGUAAUGUUUCUAACGGUUGUGGCCAGAUCUCGAUACAAUUAUGAUGGAGAGCUAACAUUUGACGGGAAGAUUGGUAUUUGGGCAUUCAUCAAAGAGUCUGAGGCAGUGCGAACGAGUCACAAUAGAGCAAGGGGAACGACAGUGCUGAAACCAGUGAAAGUAACGAGACCUGUGUGUAGAGAAUAUCUGAUCAAUAAGGUUAUACCAGCAAUUCAAGAUAAAUGGCCUGACGAUGAUGAGGGAGCAACAAUAUUCAUCCAACAAGAUAAUGCAAAGCCUCGCGUUCUUCCCAACGAUGAAGCUUUUCGAGAAGCUGUGGAAGAAACUGAUCUCGACAUUAAGUUGAUGCAACAACCUCCAAACAGCCCAGAUUUGAACUGUUUGGACCUCUGCUUCCACAAUUCUCUCCAGUCUCUAACCGAUUGUAGGUCACCUACAAACAUCCAGGAACUGAUACAGGGUGUGGAAGAGGAGUUUGAGAAUUAUGAUCCUCACAAGUUGUACAACAGCUUCAUCACAUUGCAAGCAGUUAUGUUUGAAAUUAUGAAAGAUCAAGGAGGAAACCAAUAUAAGUUGCCCCACUUACACAAGGAACGUCUUCAGAAUGACGGCAGAGAAAUAACAAGUGUAUAUUGUGACAGUCAGCUAGUUGCUGAUACUAGGGCCAUUCUAGAAGAAAUGCAAUAGGAAAAGGAAAGGAAGAAAAGAAGUAGUUGUAGAAAGGAAAAAAAGAAUUGAACUUAUCUGAAUUGUACUCCUUGUGUACUCCUUGUACUCCUUGUGUAUGUCUUGUGCAAUAGGAAAAUGCAAUUGGAAUCAUUUGAGAUCAAUGAUGAUACUGGUUAUCCAACAUUUCCAUCUUGUGUAUCGGAAUUCAUUUUAAUUGUUUGGACUAAUUUGUUUGAGUUUAUCUUGAGUUUAUCCAGCAUUUCCAUCUGUAUUGGAGAUCAAUGAUCUUGUGUAUUGGAAGGGUCAUGUACAUGGGGAUGUUGCCUCAAGUUUUAUUAAAUUUAUUGUUUCAGGUUUCAGUAUACAAAGAUUACUGGGGUAUUGUCUAUAGUUUGGAUAAACCAAAUAAAGUUCACAAAUCUUUAUUCCCUUUGUGCAUAAAGUUUACAAAUCCCAAGCAUAGAGUUGGGAUCAACAAAAAAAUUCUAAGCUUACAAAUCGUGAGUGCUUUCAUCUCAAAAAAAUUCUAAGCUUACAAAUCCAGAACUGGUAGCCUUCCUUAUCUCAAUUCUCUGGUACUGAUUUUUGCUCUCUUUUUUUACCUUCCUUCAACAAGUUGUUCCUUGAACUGCAGGUACUCAGGGACAGUCAACUCCUCGUCGUCUGAAUUCUCAAGUACAGUAGUACUAGUAGCUUGGUUCAGGUUGAUUCUCAAUGAUGCCCUGCACUUGACACUAAAGCCUCCAGCCUGCAGAUAUACAAACGAAAUACAGAUACAUGCAUCAGUCUGAACCUGAAGAAGAAGGAAUGCAACCUGUGAAAUGUGUGAAAUGCUCCUACCAACAGACAAUGGAUGGUUUUUUUGUUUUGAUUGGUCUUGCUCUCGGUUUGAAGAUGAAGUGGUGUUAUUUCGCUUACCGUUGAUGUUCAAGUGUAGGCUUUUGCCUGCCCAGCACCUCUUAACCAUGUCAUCUCCUUGCAGUGCGUCUGGUUCAGGCCGAGCUCCGGGAAGCGGCUGCGCAUCAGCGGCAGCAGCGUGUCCGACGUCCCCAGGUACAUGGACUGGAAGUUGGCCUCCUGUUUCUACACGAGCACCCUGAUGAAGAGGUCUUCGGGGAGAGCUGGGGCGACUUGUUGCCAUCUGGUGAGGACGUCCACGGCGCCCUGGUCGACGGACUUCGUGACGCUGAACAUUGUCACUGUCGGGGGACGGGAACGUGCUUCACCUGCCACGAGAGCACGACGCCGAAGCUCUCGCCGACGCCGUUUCCGACGCAGCCGGAGAAGACGGCGGCGGUAGGUGGAGAAAUCAUUGCUUUUUAUGAGGAAGGGGGAAGCUUGGGGAGGCAGGCGAGUCGCAACUGCGGCGGCGGAGCGGCGGGGGACCGGGGGAGCAGGGGAGUUGCGGCAGGCGGAGCUGCAGCGGGCGAGCGGCAGCUGCGGCGGGGGAGUAGGGCAGCUGCGGCGGCGAGGAGCAGGCAAGCUGUAGCGAGCGUAGAUGGGGCAUCUGUCGGAGGAGGAGGACGAGGAGCGCGGGUUUGGUCGGGAGAAGCUGUAGGGGCUUUUCGCAAAAUUACCGUCGCGACAUUAAUUUCGGGACGGAGGGAGUAGCAUCUAAUCCUUCCAAAUAACACAGAACAUACGUGUUGCACGACCCAAAUGGGGCCCGGUCAAUGACAUCAAUCCCAUAUGUCACUCUCUGCUCCUACUACCUCGCUGUCCAUUACUUCAUGGUAAAUCUGGGGACGAGGAGGACAUGGUCGUCUGUCUGGCUCUUCACCUCCCUCGGGAGCAGUGCACUCGACCACGGUUGGACUCUAACCGGUGGAAAUCCAUGGUGUCCGUUCAAAUGUCGUUUGGAUGCGCAGGGAUGAUUGCUCGAGGCGUGCGGGCGCGGCCUCGACGGACACAGUGAUCGCCGUCCAAUUCUAGUAUGAUGAUGCAACCCCUUUGGUGGUGCCUCAUCCCUACGCCCUCGGGCUCGGAGUCGAAGAUCUGCACCGGCAUGAGUUACGGUCCAUCUUCUAACAUGGAGUGGCAUACCCGUCGUGCAAGGCAAAGGCCGCGUGGCGAGACGUAGAUGCUCUAACCACAUCUAGAUGGGAUCACAUCGAUUUAUGAUAUCCCGACUUCCCGAUCAACGAGUCUCCUCUGAUCAAAACCAUGUUACCCUAAUAUGCAUGUAAAAAAGUUAGGCUAAUAUGCGCGUAAAAAAGUUGAUUAACUGCUGCUAAAAUGGUGUGAUGUGAUAAGCCGGCCCUCCCCAACAAGAAAUAAUAACAACUGCCCCCCUAUCUCUCAUAUCCAAUUUAUAUAUGAGCCGGAUAUAGCGAGGACUGGAUGCGUCCGUCAGGUUGUAUCCGGCUCACGCUGGUUCAUCCCGACCCAUAUAUAUCCGUCUCUAUCUCCAACCUGGACGAAACCCUAGCUACUCCACCCCUCUUCUUAGCUCCGUUCCGAUGAUCUCCAGCCAUCUCCGACAUUACAGGCAGCGUCCGACACGGAGUUGGGAUCUCGCCCCAUGCGGGGAUGAGGAGGACAUGGCCGUCCGGCCGGCACUUCGCCGCCCCCGGAAGGAGUGCGCUCGACCACGGUUGGACUCUAUCCGGCAAAAACCCAUGGUGUCCGUUCAAAUCUCGCUUGGAUCCGCAGGGAUGAUGGCUCGAGGCGUCCGGGCGCGGCCUUGCCGGACGCGGUGACCACCAUAAUAUUCUAACUCCGGGAUGGCGAUGCAACCCCUCCGGUUGCGCAUCAUCCCUAACAUGGAGCGGCGUACGCCGUCGUGCGAGGCAUAGGACGCGGGGGCGAGGUGUAGAUGCUCUAACCGCAUCUGGAUGAGAUCACAUCGAUUGAUGAUGUCCGGAUAAACGAGUCUCCUCAGAUCAAAACCGUGUAAUAAUCCUACAAAAUAAAGACAUCGCCCAACGUGUUCCAGAACGCUCUGAAUGAGACCCCGCGAAUGGCAACAACCAUACCAUUUAUGAGCAAGUUUUGUCAGUCCCCCCACCCGGCCAGCCCGUGACAUCGAUGUAGCAGCUUCCGUUCCUAUUUAACCAGCGUACCAUUUGCACUACAUUGCAUCACAGCAAGCACACACACACACACACUCUCUAGAGAAAUGGCGAUGGCUAGGACGACGGCGCUCCUCCUCGUCGCCGCGGCUCUCCUGGCGGCCUCAUCCAGCGCAUGGGAGGUGAACAUCCAGAUGCCGGCGUCGGCGGCCGUGGACGAUGCUGUGGCACCGCUCAUCCACGCGCUGCGGCCGCUCCUGGGCUCCGGCAAGCAAGCCGGCGUGGCGUGCGAUAGCUGGCGGCUGGGCGUGGAGGCGCACAACGUGCGGGACUGGAAGACGGUGCCCGCCAGCUGCGAGGAUUACGUCGGCCACUACAUGGUCGGCGACCACUACCGCCGGGACUCCAAGGUCGUCAUCGACCAGGCCAUCGCCUACGUCGACUCCCUCAAGCUCGCCGGCAACGGCAAGGAGGUCUGGGUCUUCGACGUCGACGAGACCACCCUCUCCAACCUCCCCUACUACGCCAAGCACGGCUUCGGGUACGU